rnacentral:lncRNA from 1 species
UUUUACAACAUAUUAUGGUCAUGACGACAAUCUCCUUUCAGAUGAACUGUGCCUCCAAACUAAGAAGGUUGCAUGAAAUCCCACGCAUAAAUGUAGUCUGAAAUAUUACUGCAACCGCUAUUUUCCAAAUUAACUAGUGGGGAAUUAUACGACAAUCAAUAUGCAUGUUCAUACUACUACUGUAUCGUCUUGACUCUAUCAAUAAUGUGAGGCCAAUUAUACGACAAUCCCCUUUUUAUAUCCGUGUAUACAUAGCUUUCUUUUUUCUAUAUUCGAUUUUACAUCCUGGUGAAUUGCAAUUUUUAUCUAUAGUUGCAUGUACUUCCUCCGUCCCAAAUUGCAGGUCGUUUUGACAUUUCUAGCUAGAUUCAUAUCUUUUAUUAAUAGCUUUUAUAAAUACAUGUACUUACAAAUUAGACCCGUGUUCAAGUGGAAGUGACUAGAGGAAUAAUGAAUCAUGUCGAAAGUCCCCCAAACACGAUUAAAAAUGUUCAGUCACCCUUCUGACGUACAGUCCAAAGUUCAAAGCACGGGAGCUGCAAACAAUUAUUUCACCACCGUUUUACACUUAAGCCAUAUAUAUCCUUCGUACAAAGACCAGGCGGAUUACACAUAAAGAGGUCCAACUAGCUAGCUUCUCAACAUGCGACUAGUAAACCUGAAGCAAGAUCGAAAUAAUAAUCAAGAAGCCAAGCAGUUUCAAUGUCUAUUUUGUUUUGUCUAAAUACAUGUAGAACGUGGUAAACUAAAAUUUAUACUAUAAUCUUUUAAGAAAAAACCGUUGACCUAAAAAGGAAGACAUCUAACAUUAUUUUAUAAAAAACAAACUAGUGAACAAAGAUAUUGCAAUAAGAAAGACAUUACCAAUACAUUAGCUGGUGUCUUGUACGUAUGAAGUCAUAGAGUGCAAAUAGUCGUACGCGAAGCAUUUCCCCGAUACAAAGUAUGUUUGAAAAUAAAAAAUUCCAGCCUACUAUCUUUCUCUCUUCCCAUAGUUAUCUCUAUGAAUCCUAAAAUUGUAACCUUUUAAUUAGAAUACUAACUUCAUGUAUAAGUAUUGAGAUUGAUGUCAAAUAUAAUAGAUAUCGAUAAGUUUUUAUUAACAAUAUAAGAUGUCGAUCACGUUUGGAUGCCACCCCCCGACACACACACACUUAGAAUUUCUAGUUCCACCACUGCUUUUGGGUGAUACCAUAUGAUCUUUCCUAGAAGGUUCUAGAAACAUAAUUUACCUGGGGUAUAUGCACUUCUCGGUGGGAGGACACUAGUACUGAAGUUUGGCGGCAUGCCCGAAUUUCAUUCUGCUCCAAAAAUUAUUCACCAGGGCAGUCACUGAAAAAAUAGGUUUAAGGACUAUUUCAUGGAAACACUUGCGGAGCAGCAGCAGUCCCGGCUAGUAUUGAUGAACCAGCCACCGGUGGGCCACCCACAUCAUAUGGUGAUGAUGACGCCUCCUUCAAAAAACAUGACGCCAAUGUGCAUGCCGGUAUUGGAUGAAGCGAAUACAACAGUUGGUCAGAGUAGUGUUGGCAUUACGAUAGCACAACCAUUUCCAUAGGUUCUAUAUCCAUUAAUACUCCAUGCUCAUUGCACAUUCUGAGUUGGAGAGACAAUAUAGAUUGCCCAGGGUGUUGCCAAUCCGGUUGGUGGUUUGUUUGAUGAAAAACCAAUCCCACCCCUGUAUGCAUGUGUACGAGAUAGAUAUCCCCACUACAGAGGGGAUCUAUUGCCUUGGACAUUGAGUCGGUAGUACCAUACUGUUGGAUAAACGAGAGAUACUACUGAUUGGUCUACAACCUUCGAUUCUUGAUGAUCCUGCCUCAGCUCAAAACUUCCUCAUGUAUGAAAUCCAGACUGGGACACGUUCUUGUUGAGCAUCCACUAGUGGAAUGGACUUUGGCACCAGAACAACUAGUUCAUGGGAGAAGCAUAUCUUGCCACAUCAGCAAUCCAUACCUCUCAAACUAAGCAAUCCCAUUGGCCGAACCUUCUCUUGCACCUCCCCUCUAUCCCGUCCACCCAUCCUCCUCAUUUAUACUAUCCCUGCCCAUCAUCCAUUCCUACUUUACCUUCUCUCUCCCCCAACCUUCUUCAACCCAAGUGGCUUCGGCUCGGUGUUGGUCUCAAACGAAUUUGAUACCCAACAGAUUUAAGUGUUGCUGAGGCUAGAUGUUGACAAGGGUUCCAAACCCAUAACUUGGUUGCCCGAGGUUAAGUCUGAUGCAUCGAAAUCGCUAGAGGUUAUCACGAGUUCCGAACCCAUAACUCGAUUGCUUGAGGUUAAGUAUGAUGCCUCGAAAUCGGAGCUCGAGGCUCCUAGGGCUUUAGCCGGGCUGAAAUUAAAAAAGGCUGGCAAGAAAACUGGAGUGAGAAUAGUUGAUGCUCUAGAGGAUGAUGACGAUGAAGUCGGUUUCUUGGAUGACAACUUGUCCCUGGUUUCACCUCUGCACGGUUUGCUCGAGGAUAAGGCUCACGAUGUUUCUGCUGAGAAGGAUUCGCAAUCCAAGAAUGUUGAAGAAACAUCGGAUGCUAUUGGUACUGUCCUUCCUAUUAUACCAGAUGCGAAGGAAAUUAUGGAGCGCGCGGUUGCUGCCCACUCAGAAAGGUAAUAUACAAGUCUGGCUGGUCUUAGUUUCGUGGAUGUUAGUGAGGCUUCUUCUAAAUUUUUGAUGGACUUGCAAAGCACAAUUGGCAAAGUUGGAGAGCCGUAUCAUGAACCCUCAUAUCUUUUGCAUGUAGAUCCUUUGCCCGACAGUCCUGAUCCACCUCAGGUUGUGCUAGACGACAACAAGGAUUUUGGUACAAAUAUCAAGGAGAAGUUGCUGGCUGUCCACAUUCCUGGAGCAAGUGAAGAUGAUGAUCCUUUCAAUCCUCCACUACUAUGGAGAUCGCAUGACUCACUUCGACCUGUAGGUGAAACGGUGAAACGGCGGGGACUGUUCUUGGUGGUAAGUCUGAGGGCAAUGUUUCCUCCGAGGCUCUUGAAGAAGGCAAGCUUGCCAAAGAAGAAGAGAAAAAUCCUCAAGUUCCAGAAGCUUUGAGAGGCUUCUGUUCAGAGCGAUACCCGAGGAAGUUUCUUUGAUCCUGAGGCAUUUUUUAUAAUGUCUUCUAUUUUUUUUUUGGUUUUUGAUGCCUUUGGUUGCUUAUAGAAUGCCCUUAUUUUGACAGAAUAUGAGAAGUCUUUGCGUUGCUAGGACCUUGAUCACUUGGCGAGGAUAACGACUACCCUCGGUCAUAAGGUAUUGCCUUUCCUAACUUACUGUUAAGAUUUUUGCUAUUUGGUAUUUGUAGGAUUUUUCUCAGUUUUACUUGUUUUUCAUUUUUAGGCUAUAAUUGCUAGCAAAGUGGCCAUUGAUAAGCUUCAAGAGAAGGAGAGGGCUACACUCAGCAGCAGCACUAGGGUUCUUGAGCUUGAGACCGAUGUUGCGAGGCUUAAAAAGGAGAACUCGGCUUUAGAUGAUCUCAAAGCCUCGCUUUCUGAGGAGAAUAUUGAGUUGAAAAAGAACAAGGAUCUUUUUGUGAAAACAUGCAGUGACCUCGUUCAGAAAGUGGAGACCUUUGAAAAGAAUUCUAAAGAUAACCUCGAAGUUUUGGAAAAACUGCGUAGUACCAUUGAGAAAGAUUCGACAACAAAUGCAGCUUUGAAGAAUCAAAAUGAGGCACUUGCCAAAGCUUGCGCUGAGAAAGAUAUUAUGAUUCAUACCUUGGGAAAAAACCUCGAGGAUCAAAAAGGUUUCAUCGAUGGUGCGGAGCAAGUGCUGAAGGCCCGUUUCUCACAUAUUCAUGAUGGGUAUAAGCUUGCACUGGCAGAGUUUGGGGCAGAACCCCUUCCUUUCUCUGCUGAUAAGGGAGCCAAGGAAAUGUUUGAUUGGAUGGAUCAAGAAUUUGAGUCCUUGCCCUUAGUUAUUGCGGGAGCCAGUGAUUAUGCGGCCUCCUUGUGUUGUGAGGGUAUGCUGAAGCUGCUCGAGGUGGAAAAUUGCUCAGAUUUCCUGAAAUUUGGUGCGCACGGUUACAAGUUUCCUUCUGCUUUAGAAUUCGAUGCACAGGAGACAUCAAAAAAUGUUAAGAUUGUGAAGAAGAAUUUCUUGAAGGAAUUUUGGAAGGCUUCUUGUCACGACUUUGCAAAGCUUGUUGCUCGUGGUCAUCUUUUGGAGGUUCGACUUUUCCUUUUGUCCAUUCUGCUUAAGACUGCUUUUCUUUAUCUUAUUGUGGUUGUUUGUGAUAGGCUAAAGAAUCUGAUGUGAAGGAAAAGAAGCAGAUUGGAGGCUCGGAGCAACAAGAGGUGUAGACUCUAGACUAGGUUUAAUUGGAAACUUAAUCUUUUGAUGCAUAGCUUAGGGUCGAGAACUAAAAUAGUUGUUGGUUGUAAUUUAACCUACGCAGGUCCUAGGUGAUGAGCCUGCACAGGACAUACUUCCUCUUCGAUUUCAACGUGGAAACAUUGUUGCCAGUGGUCAUGCUUGGCGUCUCUUUCAUACUUUUCAUCCCGACGCUAAUUUUCAUGUUUUCUGGUGCUUUUGCUGUGAAUACUUUUCCGUGCAAAGCUUUAUGCUGGGUCGCUAUUUUGAGUCCCGCGAUGGUUAUGCACUUGAUACGAUGGAAGAAAAAAUAUUUGAAGCUUCGAGGGUGAAGUCGGAUCCCCUUAGUCACAAUAUCAUGAGUUUGAUGUCGCCUAUGUGUGUGACGCUGCAGAGUUUUGAGGUUCAAAACCUGGUCAUGUAAUCAAAUUGUCAUUCUGACUUGUAACGAAACUCAUUGGAAAAACAUCACCCCCCGUUUUCUUCCUUUUUGCGGAGAUUUUUGUUGCAAGAUGUUAUUGCGAGAAAUAUAUUGUGUUAUUUUUUAAAGGGUUUUUUGUCUAAGUGUCAUAACCCCAAACGACAAGGAAUAUUUGAUUUUAGUGAGAAACAUCACCCCCCCCCUUCUGUUCCUUUUGGCAAGAGUUAUGUUGUUUGCAGUAUUUGGUCGAUGACAGAGGUAUCCUCGAAGCUUUCUAUCUUUCACAUUUUCCGUGCAGUAGUUAUUGAUUUUGGAAAAGAGGUUCAGAGGUGUUUAACUUUCAUGUGGGACUUUUACAUGCUAGUUUUCUUGUAAUAAGUCAGCAAAAACUUGCUCCCAGUUUUGCGGACUUAGAAAGUUAAACAACAAGUCAGGUCGAAUUCACAACUCUUGGUUGCUUCAACCAUAGAGUUGUAAAUCCUACGAGGUUAGAUAGAAUUUUAGACAAGUAUGGUAAUGGCAAAAGUGAGGCUUUGCUUGCGCAGAAAUGCAAGAUUUGGGGUAUUCUUGGAAGCAAAGUUGGUGCUACAACUUCUUGUUACUUAUGUCCAACGCUUGCGCAGAAACGCAAGUUUUUUCUCACACAGAAAUGUGAGGUUUUGCUUGCACAGAAACGCAAGGUUCAAGUUAUUUGAAAAGUAAAGUUGAUGCUACAACUUGAUGUUGCUUUCGCCCAACACUUGCGCAGAAAUGCAAGUUUUUUUCUCGCACAAAAAUGUGAGAUUUCACCGCAACUUGUAGUUGCUUUGGCCUCAGCUUGCACAGAAAUGCAAUGUAGUAGCCCUUUUGAGGCUUAGUAAACAUGAGAUUCAGGGGAAUUGUACUACAUUAAAAUGUAAAGGUUUACAUGGAUCCGCCUUGUUAAAAACCUUGCCUCCAUUGUGGAUCCCCCUAGAUAGGAAAAGAGUACAUUCCAUUUGCAGCAAAGUAAAUGCAGGAAAGUAAAUUUUCUACCCUCGACGUUGUUUAUAGACUUACAAGCUUAGGGGUUUUACUAUUUUGGCGACUAUGGGUAGUAUUUGCACAAGUUAUCCACAUUCCAAGAAUGUGGUAACUCUGCUCCUAGCUAAUCUGCAAGGUAAAAGGAUCCUGGCCUAUUGCUUCGAGUGACAACGUAAGGCCUUUCCCAAGUUUCUUGUAACUUCCCGAGGUUCUCCAUGUUCUUUCUCUUUUUGAUUACUAGGUCUCCUAUCUUGAUCUCUUUCUUCACUAUUUUUGUGUCCCUCCACUUUUUGGUUUCUUGUUGAUACUUGUCGAGGUUUUCAAUUGCCUGUAAUAUGUCGAGCUCAAUCAUGUCUUUGUUGAUUUUUCGUUCUCUAAGGAAGCCUCGAUUUUGAGUACUCAUAAGCUUUCAUUCUUUAUUUCCUCUGGAGUCAUAGCCUCGAAGCCGUAUAAUAGGCGAAAGGGUGUGAAACCCAUUGUUCUUGAUGCAAUAGUGUUGUAGGACCACAUGACUUUUGGGAGUUCAUCAAUCCACUUCCCUUUUUUCUAGUCGUACAAACAUUUUUUGAUACUCGAGAACAUAUUUUGAAAUCAUUACAAUCGAACUAUUUUCUUUUGUCCACUGUUAGUUCCCUAGGAACCCAAAACCUGCAGAUGAUGUCCUGCCAAAAGAUUUUUUGCACCAAGCUUGAGGUUAUGUUUGCCAGUGGCUUAGCCUCGAUCCAUUUGGUAAAGUAGUCAAGCGCUACUACUGCAAACUUGCAGUUGCCUUGUGCAGUGGGUAAUGGCCCUAUUAAGUCCAUUCCCCAUCUUUGUAAUGGCCAGGUUGGUGGUAUGAGUUGUCUGGCAGUGAGGGUGUUUUUUGCUAGUUAGUUGUCUUUUGACAAGCCUCGCAAGUUCUAACUAAGCUUCGGGCAUCUAGGAUUGUUGUUGGCUAGAAAAAACCCUGUCUCACGGCUAUGCCUACUAGGGCUCUGGUUCCGAUAUGAGAACCGCAAAACCCACUGUGGAUUUCUGUUAACAAUUCUUUCCCACUCUCCAUAGUUAUACAGCGUAGCCAAGGAGCUGAGAUCCCAGAUUUGUACAGCUCACCGUCGACCAUGGCGUAGCCCCUAGCCCUUUGCUUCAUUCUGUUUAGUUCAGCCUCGUCGUGAGUCUCAUAGUGUCCUCUGAGGUAGGACAUGGUUGGAGCCCUCCAAUGAAUCUGAUGAUUGCAUUUACGACUCUCGGAGUUAGCUCUCUGGUUGAUGGGGAGUGUAUGACCUCAUAGAAUAGAUCAGGUGGCAUGGUUUAAUUUUCCGUAGUUGCUUUUGCCAAUUUGUCUACAUCAUCGUUUUCUGCCCUUGGGGUGUGCUGAACGGUGAACCCUUUGAAAUAUUUUUCCAUGGCUCUUACUGUGGCUAAGUACUUCACAAGCUCUACCUCUCUGGCCUUGCUUUCUUUUUUGAUGUGCUCUUGAAUCACUUAGGAAUCUUAUUUUACUAUGAAUACUUGCUGAUCCAAUGCCCUCAUUCUCCUUAGCCCCAGAAGCAGUGCUUCAUAUUCUAUUCUUUUGUACGAGGACCUUGCCUUGCCCUUGAAAUCAAGACUCGCAGCAUAUCUAAUUUUACACCCUAGGGUGACAUGAUAUUUGCUGACACUCCUACCACCUUGUCACACCAAGCCCCGUCGCAAUGUAUGACUAGUGGAACCUCAAUCUCAUCAGUUUCAUUUUUGCAUGGUGAUGUCCAGUCCACUAUGAAAUCGGCUAGGACUUGUGAUUUGAUUGCACUUCUUCUCUCGAAGUCCACCAGGUAUUCGGACAAUUCUGAUGCCCAUUUUGUGAUUCUCCCCGAGGCUUCUCUGUUUGUGAGAAGAUCAUGAAGCGACUGGUUGGUGACCACCACUAUCCUGUGUCCCUCAAAGAAAUGUCUUAACUUGCGCACUGCCAUGAUUACAGCAUAAGCGAUUUUUUCUAGCUCGGAGUAGAACAGUUUUGACCCCGAUAAUGCUUCUAAGGUGAAGUAUACUGGAGUUUGUCUUGGUUUGCUCUUGAUUUCCUUUUCUUGCACUAAGGUAGCACUGACUGCAGAGCUCAAGGCUGACAAGUACAACAACAAGGGAGAUUUUGGAUCGGGUGGGCAUAGUUUCGUCAUGCUUGUCAAGUAAUCUCUUAGUUCUGCAAAAGCUUUGCUUUGCUGCUCUCCCCAUUCAAACUUUUUGGAGUUUCACAGUACUUGGAAGAAAGGUAGACUUCUUUCGGCUACUCUCUGGAUGAAUCUAUUAAGGGCUUCUAUUCUUCCUGUCAGCUUUUGCACAUCUUUCACUAAAACAGACUCUUUCAUCUUAACUAGAGCUUGGAUUUUGUCUGGAUUAGUCUCGAUGCCCUUGGUUGAGACCAAGCAUCCUAGCACCUUGCCUCUCUGAAUUCCGAAUAUGCAUUUUUCUGCAUUUAGCUUCAAGUUUGUUGUCCUCAAGUUCGCGAAAGUUUUUGCGAGGUCAUGAAUGUGAUCUUUUCGUUUGACACUUUUCACCACGAUAUCAUCCACAUAGGCUAGGAUGUUCCUUCGAAGCUGUGUGCUUAGGACUAUUGCUAUCAUUAUUGAGAAAGUUGACCCCGCAUUCUUGAGCCCCUCAGGCAUUCUGACGAAACAGUAGGUCCCGAAUGGAGUGAUGAAGCUCGUCUUCUCCCCAUCUUCUUUUUUCAUUCGUACUUGAUGAUAACCUAAAAACAUAUCUAGUAGUGACAACAUUUUGCUGUUUGCAGUGCCAUCUACCACCUUGUCAACCCUUUCUAAUGGAAAGUCAUCUUUUGGGCAUGCCUUGUUAAGGUCGGUGAAAUCUAUGCACAUUCUCCAUUUGCCAUUUUCUUCUUGACUGAACUGUGUUUCCCAACCAUUCAGGAUACAUAAAUGCGCGUAUUAUGUUGGCAUCAGCUAGCCUUUGGUCUCACACCUUUUUUUAUUUCUAACUUGUGCUCUAUUAUAUCUUUGUCUACUCGUUGCAGGUCACAUGCAGACCAUGUGAAGACAUCCUUGUUCUUGUUCAGGAACUCGAUCAGUUGCUUUUCUUCGUCGGGCUUGAGUUCAGCACUGAUGAUUACAGCUCUAUCGAGGACAUGUUUGUCUAGUAGUACUCUUUUUGUUUUGCCAUCUGCACUCAUUUUUACUUUUUCUUUAUCUCUUUUUGGCUCGACAUAUGGUUUUUUCUUCUCCGAGGGUUCAACCACGCUUGAACUUGCUAAGUGGUGUACAUUUUUCUGCCCUAGGGUUGCACCUUUUUCAACAUCAAUGGCUGUUUGCUGGUCACCAUAUAUUGUGAUAACUCCUUUCAGAGCUGGGAUCUUCAUACACAAGAACAACAGCCUUAUUGCAGCAUCGAACUUGUUGAUGAAUCCCCUUCCAAAGAUAGCAAAGUAUGGAUAGUACAUUUCCACAAUGUUGAAUGUUAUGUAUUCCGUUCUGGCAUUGUCUAGGUUUCCAAAUGAUACUGGUAAUGUGAUUUUCCCCAAGGCUCACUCUAGCUUUCCACCAAAACCAAGUCAUGGUCUUUCUACUGGUUGUAGUAGGUGAGGAUCAAUUUUCAUUUCUCUUAAUGUGUUUGCAAAAAUGAUAUCUGCUGAGCUUCCAUUGUCAACUAGUGCUUUCCCGAUUGUCCAUCCUACAACAAUAGCCUCAAUUACCAUCGCAUCAUUAUGCGAGGCUGUUUUGAGUUUGAAGUCUUCUUUAGUGAUGGAGAUUGGCAUGUGUGCCCAUUCUGGCCUGGCUGGUGGUUCAUCACGGAUGACCGAAUGGACUUGUUUGAAGUAAUUUUGCCUUUGCUUCUGUUUCUCAAAUUCUAGCGAAGAUCCACUUGCUAUUGGGAUGAUCAUGUCGUAGGUGGGAAAAACAUUGGACUUGGUGUUUUGGGCAUUUUCGAACUCUUGCGAGGAGCCCCCUGACAUUGGCAUGAUCAUGUCGUAGAUGGGUAGGGCUUUGGGUUUGCUAUUUUGGCCAUUCUUCGGUUCAACCUUAGGUAUUUGAUUUGGCAAGUUUGGCAGAAGUAGUGGUAUUUCUUGCAGAGGCUGAGGUGGUGCGAAACUUUCAGUUUACAUGGCUAGCUGACUUUGAGAUUGAAAUUGUGGCGAUGGUUGCCACAUCAUGGUGGGUUGGUAAUUGAAAGAAGGGUUGGUAAAUGAACUUGCGAGGGUAGAUGUAUGAAUGGUGUUGGGGUUUAUUUGUGGCUAAACUUGGCAGUAUGGCUAUUGUGGCAAGAAAGAAGUGUGGUGAAUGGUUUUUGGCAUUGCUGCUGCAGCUACGGCUGCUCUUUUUUCCUCUGCUAUCCUUUCGAAGGUCUUUUUUGUUUCUGGAUAGAAAUCGGUUGCGUGAUCUAGUUAUUUGCCAUGAAAUGUGCAAUAGGACAUUCGAGGCUGGUUGUUUUGAUUGUGUGGCCUAGGAGCUCCUCUGCCUUGGCCCCUUCCCCUGCCUGAGUGGCCUCCUCUCUACCCAUUGCCAUGAUUUAUGUGUUGUUGUGGUGGUUGCCCAUUCCAAUUUUGGCUUUGUUGUUGUGAGGGUUGAGCACCCUCGAUUGGUAGUACAUUUUGGCUUUGUUGUUGUUGAUGUUGUGUGGAAUUGCAUUUUAGGGCUGGCCAAUUCUGAUCUUUCUGGGUUUGCCUUUGGCGAUUCCUCUCCAUUACUCUUUUCCUGUGGUCCUUGUCUGACCUGCAGUAUUUUCCAACUCGGCGAACAAAGAUUCCAUAGUUUUGGGUUUUUCUCUUGUUAGGUGCGAGGCUGUCGAGCCUGGUGUUAGCCCUUUGAUGCAAGUUGCUAUGGCUGCACUUUCAUCUACAUCUAGGGUUUGUGACUUCAAUUGUACAAAUCUUUUGACAUAAUUGGCUAGAGGUGCUUUAUCUCUCUAGACGCAAUGAAACAAGUCACCCGAGUCUGUUGUUGCACGAUGGAAGCCUUGGAAGUCUUGUAUCACCUUUGUUUUGAGAUCGAUCCAGCUAUAUACUAACUACAUUGUGAGUAAUGAGUACCAUUUCAUCGCGGCACCCUCGCAGGCUAUGAUUAGGGACUUGGCUAAGACUACGUCGUCUCCUCCAGCUGAUGCUACUGCAGCCUCGUAGCUCAUGAGGAUUUGAUGAGGGUCAUUUUGCCCAUUGAACUUUGGCAGUGAGACUGUCUUGUAGUUUGGAGGCCAUAGAGCUGUUUGUAGGCCUAUAGAUAAUGGAGAGCUUUGGUCGAUUGCUAUGUAGGGACUUGUCAUCACUGGCACGUUGUGUCUAGUGAGGUUUGGAUCCAUUUGCGGGAUAUUUUCUGUGUUCAUGACAUGUUACUGUCUCAAAGGUGGUGGUUGGGGUUGUGGUGGCGUAUUUCGUCAAUAUUGCAACUCAUCCAACUCUUCUUGCAAUUCUGCUAGCUGUUGUUUUGCUUGAUUUAGUUUUGCUAUUUUUCGAACUGUUAGACGUUGGGCUUCUAGUUCUUGAGCAAACUUCUCUUUUUCUUGUUUUAGAGCUUCGAGUUUCCUUAGCACCAAGGCCUACUCCUUUUCUGUUGCACCGACUUGAUUGUUUCUUGUGCUUGACUAGGGUUGUGCUAGAUUUGCUACUUCUGGCUCCACUCUUUUUUUCACUUCUUGUUCUUAAGUUAGCCUCGACUCUCUUUAACUUCUCUACAGUAUCUAUGUCAUUUUGAUCGACAGGGACAAGUCUUCUCUCUUGAGCCACAAGAUUCUCUCUUUCACCCUCGGCGGCUCCCUGUGGUGCGGUCUUUUUUUUCUUCGUUUGUCGCAUCAUGGGUUGUUUUACAGCUAAAACCACGGUGGGUGCCCUAUUGGUCUCAAACAAAUUUGAUACCGAAUAAAUUUAGGAUUACAAAAAGAACAAUGCACACUUCUCAAUUGGAGAAACUGAUCUCCCUUUACAAUGGGGUAGGGCUCCCUUUUAUUGUGACUCAUAGCCUACUUUGUAUUCCGUAAGUACCCUUGUUCAACCACUAUAUUCUUAGGAUAUGCCGUACAUAAAGGUCAUUGGGAAACAUGUGUAUAAAUUGAAUUUCUCCAUGUGUUCACGUUUCUCACGUCUUCCACCCAUUAACCUCGAGACUUCAAUUGCAUCCUAAGCCAGUCGUCUAGCCUUGAGGCUUCAUUCGCAUCCUGAGCUGGGCAUGUAGCCUUGAGGCUUCAGCUUCUCAGAGUCCUGAUGAAAGGUCUUAACCUUGAGCAGUUCCUCCUCAAGCAACAUUCCUGAGUAAAGAGUAAAAAGAUGAAAGCUCGGUGUCUGGAACCAACUCCAAACACUCGAGGGUUAAUCCAAUGGAAGUUAGUCAUUAUUGUUGUCAAUCGCUACCCUCGAGUCCUUCCAGGGGUAGAUGCAAUGUGAGGAUACGAGAUUUACGUCGAGGUGCCUCGCACAGAACAUGCGAGGUUAAAGGGGCUCCGCUUUCCUUGCUGCUGGCGCGCAACUUGCAAGGUUAGGCUUGGAAUCUGCUACCAACGUUCGAGGGUUGCUGACUUUUUAGCGAUCCCCAACACUCACCCUUCUCCUUUAUACUUAUAUAUCCCUACCCAUCCUCCUCCUUUAUAAUAUCUCUGCGUGCGUGCAGCUUGCAUAGGGAGGCACGAGCCUCCUCUUUAUACUAUCCCUGCACUCCUCCAUAUAUUCUCACUGUACCUUCUCUCUCCCACACGUGGUUGUAACUCGGCCUUCGACGCUAGGUCCCUCCUCGGCAGCGUUUGGCCUGUGCAUGCAGUGUGCGUGGGCCGACAAUGCUAGAGGACAUUGUGGCCCAGCUUUUUUUAUUUUUUAAUCAGUUUUCAGUGCAGGGUGACGAGGUAUCCCGCCUCUGCAAAUGUAUUUACUAUGCAGGACUGAGUCCUGCCCCUACAGAUGCCUUAUAAAUGCAAUUUUACCUGGUGGUAAAAACGUUUUUUUAUGUAGUGGUGGCGCUGUCGAGUCUCCACAAAUGCAAUGAACAUGCUGCGCCUCCCCUCGAUCCGACAGAUAUAUUGGUGUUGUUACAAAUCCUAUUUUUGUGACCAAAAGUUGCAAACGGUCAAGCACAUUUUAGUUAUUUUAUUUUAGUUUCUUAGUGUCAUUUUUUUGUUGUUAGGCAUCUGAGUGGCACAUCGUAAGCUUGUCCUGGUUCCUCAGCUCAUAAGCAAUUGAUGCCUGACAGUGACUGUCGUUGUUUGACCUGUCUCCACUGCUCGCUUCUGAAUUACUGGGCCAUGUCCAAUGGCAGUGUUGCAGCUGAUGAGGUGAGGCAGCAAUCUUUUUGAGGGCCUGUAUGUUUAUGGAGCAUUCUGUGCCACCGGUGGUCAGCCAUCUGAGCCACUGCUGCACAUCAUAACCACGAGGGCAGGCCCAGUGGACGCUCAGGCGCGUGCAUUAUGUCCGACUAGCUAUGGACAAAGGUCAAGUGAAUAUAUUAUUUUAUUUUUAACAUUACAAAUAUUAGACAUUUCAUGUUUUUUGUGCUACCAAAAAGUUUUCAAGCAAGGGCACACAGCACACAGCACACAGCGCACCUGUAAUCCCUAAUUUCACUUUCCCUCUCACAUCUCUCCCUUUUCAAUCUCUGUGUGUUAAUUUUUAUCUGAAAAACGUGAGAUUGAACUAACUGUACAUCUCUAGACGUGUGAAUUUAAGAUUUUAGAAUAUUUCAAAAAAUAUAUAAAAAUAGAUCUUCAAUUAUGUAUAAAAAUAUUAACAAUAUAGUUUCAACAACCAUUCAUAAAUUAAAUAUUAAUAACAUGAAAUCGAUAUGCAUGGUGUCGGGUCCCUGGUGUGCUAUCGCUGUGUGAGGCGGAGAGAGACUGAGAAAGGAUGGAGAAAAUAGAGGACGGGAUACAUGGUGAAAGCGACAUGUGAUUUUUUGCCUAUAGCCCCUGCAUGCUACUCUUACCGUCCAAUGAAAAAGUGCAAUUUUUUAUUAGUGGUGGUGUGAAAAGACACCCAUAACCACAUUUAUUGACAUUGACUGACCCAUAACCACAAUUAUUGACCAUGCAGUAAGUUUUAACAUGCAAAUCAAAUAACCACAUAAUUAGGCAGGUAGUUACAUCUAAUUCUUAUGAUUGCAUUUAAUGCGAUUUUUUUCAAACGCUAGAAUGACACUUUUUUCAUAGGAUGGAGUAUAUAUGUGCGCCUCAUGCCAUCACGUGGCGUGUGCCGAUUAGACUAGGUGCCGGGGCCGUUUUGGGCAAGAACAGGCGUGAAAGCCCUGGUUGCGUGGAUAUAAUAAUGAGAUGAAUAACUAAAAUUAAAUUGGCGGUGACAUACAAAUUUUUUUAACAGAAACGUUGCUCGCUUUAGUAAUAGGAAGGAAAAGAGGUGAGGUGCCUUGCUUCCUCAGCUUCCACAUCUUAUCUAUGUAAAAACAUUCAAAACACUAGUAGAGAACUCAGUAUUAGUCCCGGUUGGUAGGGCGCAAUUCUCUCGAAAAUCCAUCGGGGAUAAACUAACCGAGACAAAGGGGGGCGGGUCUUUAGUCCUGGAUCCUUCAACUGGGAGUAAAGCCACCCUUUAGUCCCGGGGGCCUGCCACGCAAGGCACAGGACAAAAGUCUCGGUUGAGUUUUCCAACCGGGACUAAAGUCCUGCAGGCCCGCGCCAUGCAGGCGCCUGCAUGGUGCCUGUAGUUUCAUGCAUCACGUACGUACCCCGGCCCUUUUGUUAACCUUUAGUAGUUGAGACUUUUUUUAUAAUGAAAUCAAACUAGUAUUUAAACGAAUGAAAUUAGUAAUUAUACAAUUACUAUAUAUACAAUUCUUUGCAUAUUAUACAAAUCAAUCUUAGCGUAUUAUAUAUACAAAUCAAACUAUAUAUCUACAAUCUUCCCGUCGAGGUGUUGCUCAGAGCGUCUAAAUUUCGUCCAUCAUAAUAAAAUUCUCCUUGUGGAUUUACCACCUCGUCCAAUAGGAAUCCAAUGAGACCUUCACAUAUUGCCGCUACUCUUUCCUUCUUCAAGAGUCCUUGUUGAAUAUUUAAGAUCUAUAAUUUGAAAAUAUGUGAAUGUUACACGAACAAUUAAAUAUAAGGAGCUAGAAAAUAAUUAACUAUUAAUAGUUUUAUUUUACGUACUUUAAAGUUGUGCGGCGUCAUCUUUAGUCCCUUGGGUCCCACAAAACUGUGCAUGUGCUCAUAGAUGUAGUAGAAACAUAGAUUAUUCCCAGGUUCCUGUCUUAAGCACUUCAGUAGGGAAAAAAAUAAGUUAUGAAAUAUUCGUGUUAUACAAUGUAUAAAAUGUGCAGACUUCAUACGUACCGGGAAGUCUAUGUUCCAUGUAAUUUUUUCUUUGAAUGAAUCUUUGUGUGUCCUCAUGAAUUGUCUCCAUGCGCUGCGGAUUAAAAUAAUGAAUGUGUUGGCGCUAAAAACCAGCCGACGGUCUUCAGCGUGGGACACACGACCAGAGAGAAUCUGCUUAACUCCUGUUCGGGUUAUCGCCCUGGUGCGGUUCACGUGGUGUGCUAGUCAAUCUGACCUGUUGAUUAACAAGGAAAUAAAGAUAUUAAAUUCCAGGGGCUUUUAAAGCGAGUCGGCGAAUCGGCCGAUUCACUACAGAGAUAAUCGGCUUAGUAGAACAGCCGAUACCAUGUAGCGAUUGCGAAGUAAAACCACUAGAGCAGACUAAACAACGCUACAAAUGCAACACUUGAAAUAAAUCUAAUAAGCUAUAUGGCGAUAAAUAAGAAUAACAAUAAUGAAGCCAACAGUUCGAAUCUCAAGCUGGAUAACUAGUGAUAAAAACUAGAGCAAUAUAUAGAACCUAUAAUUCUAGUUAAUAUCGAUAACUGGUGAAUAAAUCUAAACGAAACAAUAGCGAUACGCCCGAAGUUAAAGCUUAGAUAUUACUCGAUAAGCGGAACUUACAGAAUCGGCCGGAGAUCGUGUCGAUGCAGCCCUGCCAACCCGUAUGAACUCGUGAAAGAAAAGAUGUAUUGGCAAAGUCACCGACUUGAAAGUAAAGUACGAUGAAAAGGUAGAUUUGUUGUAUUGAUUGAUGUGUCUUUACAAAUCUCUGAAGAUGGCUAUUUAUAGCCUACUACAACUAAUUUCCUAACCGACUAGGAUCUAUCUCUAAUUUUAAAUGAAAAUGAAUAUUUACAAACACAACUCGUACCGGAGUUGGUUACCAUACUCCCACGGGCUAAUCUUUCUCUAUCUUCUUUUUCUGGCCCACCUUAAGCCCAUAUUGGCCCAAUCGCUCCAGCCUUCCAAUCGGCCGAUCCCCACCAACUCCGUCCGCCAAUUGCUCGAAACACUGUAGCGCCAAUCGGCCGAAUCCCAACUGUAGCGCCAAUCGGCCGAUUCCCAAUCGUAACCUUUUAAUCUGCCGCAUCGGCCGAUCCUUUCCUCUCUUGACAUCGAUCCAAAAUGUGUCAAAAUCUGGUGUCAACACAUGCCCCCCAGUUUCGGAGUAAAACAUAACUUUUUACUUCAAAAUUCUUCUUUAACUUCCUCUCCAAAACAAACGCGGCAAAAAUCCCCUUCUGUUUCGCGGUCUUCUACCUGAUGAUUGCAAUCUCUUCGAACUGGGCACCUAAGACAACCGUUGUCCCGAAAUUCGUGUAGAGUGCGUGGUAAAAAUCCUGCCUUUACCCCUUCUCUCGGACUAUCUUUAAAUACCGGCGUUCUCUGCCACUUCUUCUCCACGAGCUCAGUAACUUUCUCUCCGGCGAAUCACUUUCUAUCUUCUCCUAGCGCCCCUUUCAUUUCCAGUCGCAUUCUCCAGCGAUCAUUCUUUCGUCUACAUCCCUCUUCAUUUUUCCUCAAUGGCGGCGCCAUCGGCAACUCCACCUGCAACGGAGGCUCCACCGGCAACUCCAUCAGCGAUGACAGUUCCAUCGGCGAUCGCACCAGCAACGAUAAGCUUCAUUCCAGAGGUAAACAUCUGAAACUUUUCCUUUUUACUUUUUACCGCCCAUGUUUGUUUUAGAUCUAUUCUUAGUUCUUUCUCUUUUUGCCUUCCUUAGGUAGUCAAACAACAAAUCACCAUCUGCCUUUCCGACGCACCUGGUUUGAUCUGCUUAGGUCCUAUGGGGAACCCAGACCCGACUGAUCUGAUCAAUUUAGAAACCCAUAGAAUCCCUUUUAAGCAAUCACCUAUGGAUUUGAGACAGUGGUCAGGCACUUCUAGAUCUUGGCCGAAUGAAACACCCGGCUGGAAAGAAUGGUAUCAAAGAAUGGCCAACUCCAAGAGAGUUCAAUGGGGUGAAUUAAAAAUAGGCCAGUGCAUCAAUCUAUCUUUGUCCCAGAUGGAGAAGAAUGAACCCUUAGUGAUAGCAGCUUCUUACUUUUGGUCUGACGCGCUCAAUGCAUUUCUCUUUGGGCACGGACCCAUGACCCCAACUCUGGCCGAUGUUCUGAUGCUAACCGGCCUCGAUAUUUCCUCCCCCGACACAUCCUUUAAUAAUCUGAUCAAGCCGACCCAUCGGCUUUUAUGCGGCAGAGCAGUCGGCCCUUCCUCCAACACACAAGCUCUGCCCGAAGCCCUGGCAAGGGGAUCCACCAUCCCUCUAGGGAAACACUUGUUAGGAUCGGCCUAUCAUAUGAUGCACCAUAUCGGUGUCAAACUGUCAAAGGGAGAGCCGAUUGGUAAUCCUGGUGGUCCCUGGUGCUUCAUCACCCUCUGGCUCAACUUGUACAUGAGCAAGGUCUUCCAGCAGCAGAUACAAACCAAGACAUUCCCCAACAUUGAGUCAGAGGAAAACCCCACAGUACGACGAUGGUGCACCUCUUUCGGCGAAGCGGCAUCGGCUUUCCCGGGUUGCCAGUUCACCCCCACCCAAACAGCCAAAUAUUUCAUAUGCUUCUACAACGGCUUUAGUGAAGAGACUACAAGUUGGUACCCAUACCAGAGAAUGGAGCCUAUUUUUGAGCUGCCCUUCUGCUAUGACUCGACGUCCAACUCCUUUGACAAUGACCUCACAGACGCCUUGAUUAAACUAGGGAUCUUACCAGCGAACUUCUUUUCUGGGAAGGACUCCCCAACUUAUUAAUUUUAUAACCCGUCAGUUGCAGCACGGUAGUUUGGGCUUGGUCAGUUGCCGAUUCGGGUUUACUUUGCCGGCAGAGCAAAAUUUUGAGAUGCACUUACUAAGGGCCUCCACUAUAAUCGGCUGUGCGAUUUACUACCUGAUUCCAGUACCACUAAUCUGAACAAUUCAAAUUAUGGUGGGCAGAAUGGAAGCCGCAUCUCUUUUGUGUAUCCCCUGCAACAUAUUACAAUGAUCUGGAUCCUGACAACAUCGACCCAAACACAGCGGUACUGCUCUCUUCUUCACCGAUUUCAAUGUCAUUCCCUUUUAUGCUACAAAUUUAUCACUAACUUUUAUCUCCUUUCUUUAGUCUGGAAGUCGACUUCCCCCCAACGUGCAGCCGAAGUGGCAGACCAAUAGAAAACUGUUAUCCAUAUACAAUAUUUCCACUUAUCGGCUAUCAUGCCCCAACCAUUGGAGACAUCACCACUGGCCGAUCGAAACAGACACUGAAGAUAACCUCUUCAAAGAAAACGAGCCGCUGGGUGCGUGCCCGCAUAGAAUCGGCCGAUCCAUCGGUGGUGGCAUCGUCUGAAUCCUUGGUUGCACCGACCCCGUCGAUGGUCGAAGAAGUCGAUCCCCAGGCCGCUACAGAAGCUGGAGCAGCUGCUGCAUCAUUGUUGGUAGAAGCUAUUCAGGUAACUCCGUACACCUUGCAUUUUUCUAAGUAUCUUGUCAGUAUUAAUUUCUUCCUUCUGUUAGGCUAUGCUAAUCGCCCCAGUACAAUCUCCGCAGAAAUCGGCCACAUUCCAGGCAGAGGCCGGGACGCCAGCAAUCUCCCCUACUUAGGUAGAGAAAAUCUGUUCAAAUCAAAUUUCUCAAUCCUUAAUCAAAGAUUUAACCGACUUCUGAUGCAGGCUACCCUGGAUACAUCAAUCGUAUCCUUUCAACAGCCAACGGCCGGACGACUCACAAAGGUAUAGUAAUCAUUAUUUGUCAUCAGUCUUAAUCACUUGCCUCAUACUUAUAGUGAUCUGCCUGUUGAUCCUUUCCCGGAAGCCGGCCUGAGCACGGCAUCGAUAAUCGUCGAAUCCUCUUCCUCUGAUGAACCAGUCGCGCCAGUUCCCGAGAUGAGGGUAGCACUCCCACCGGCGCAAGCAGAAGAGAUUCGUUUUAAAGAGGUAAGAAACUUGACACCCAAAUCGGCCGAUUUCCUAUUACCGUCGGCUAAUCCAUAUUUUUAUUAUUUAUUCUUUCUCAGGAGCAAGAUACUCCCAACAAUAGUCUCUUUUCUUUUGCGGUUGCACUUUAUGAUGAUGAAGAGGUUGCCUCACGCCAAGUUGCACUGAGCUCGAUCCCUGAUGAUGUCCGUGCCAAACUUGAGAGCAUACGGACCCUCCUCCAAGACGACAUCGGCCGACUAGUGGAAGAUGCCUCGCCGAUUCGGCAGCUUCUCAGUGAAAUCAGAGGCCGAGUUCCAGAAGAGGCAGAAGAGGCUCUAGCACCCGCCGCAUACAUUGAGUCAAUGCGGAUUCCAGUGUUCAGGGCCUUGCGCCACAUGGCCGAUCGCGCCAAAUUAGCGAAAGCCCGCGAGGAGGAAGAUUCCUACAAACAUCGAGCGCAAGAGGUACAUCAACGAAUCAGCUUCCUUGAAAGCUCUUGCCCAGAUAUUGUUGGCGCCAUAGAUCGCCUUAAACGGCGAAGGGCAGAGCUUGCCAAGGAGAUGGAACAGGUGACCAAGGCCAUAGCCGCCGAAGAGAAGAGACUCCAAGACCUCCCAUCGGUCAUCGUCAAGCUGAAGGAGGAGAGGCAGAACCUGGCCCACGAAGCAAUCAAACUUCACCGUCAUAUGCCAGAAGUUCCUGGAUUGGCUGAUGAUGACCAGAGGACUUUAGACUCGGCCGAUCAGGUUAGGCAGCGAGCAAUUGUAGCCAUUAAUGCCCUCCUUGGGUGAACUGUAAAAACACUGAAUGCUCUGUGUAAACAUUUAAUGUUCUUUUGCCGUUGACGUGCGGAUUCAAAGUUAGACCAUCCUCUAUGGCAGCUUCUUCAUUAAAUUACCUUUUACUCAGAUGGGACGCGUCUUACCAACCCUUCAUCUUUUCUUUCUAUAAGUAUGAGACUUUCGUAUUGCAUUCCAAAGGCAUUCACACCUCGCCCAUCCUCUUGACUCCCACACUCUUAGACUAAGCACCGAGAUGUCUUCUCCUUCUUCUUCCUUCUCUGUCGACCAGGUGCGAAAUCCCCCUCUGUUCCCUCGCCUGACGUUUAAAUCAAUCUGACCACAAGUAGUUUUUGUUUUGCUAUUUUUCAGCCGAGAUGCCUUAGUCCUAGCCUGGAACGAGCCAUCGAGGUUAUGCACUCGGACGAACUGCUGACGCAGGCGGACAAAGAUCUGAUCAAGACUCAUCACGAAAAACUCAAGGAUCAUAUCCCUCCUCAUGUCCAGAAGAUCAUGGACCAUAUGGGCCCCAACUGCUCCGGGCGGCUGCUGACUGAAAGGAGUCAUCCGCUUCCUCGUUAGGUCACCUUUGAGGAUACCAUGGCAGGGACAUCCCGGCCAUUGGUCAACAGAAGCCACCAACCUCCUCGUCAAGUUGAGGUUGAAGCCGCCAUAGAGGAUCUGAAGGAAAAGAGCAUCCGCCUCUUAAUAGAACUAGGCAGGAUUGAGAGGGAGAUUAAGCAAAAAUGUGGUCAAUGAAUGUAUUGGUACUUUUUAAUCCAAGGGUGACUUGUACCGUGUCGGCCAUGUAUCCUAUUGCUUGUACCGAAUAAUAAAUCGGCCAGACUAAUCAAAUGUUUUGUCCUCAAGGCGAUGUUAUCAUUGCAUCGGCUAUAUAAACACAAGUCAAUAGGAGUCAGCCACAUCUUGACACUCCAUAUCGUCAGUUAUGCAUCUACCCAUAUGCUGGGGUAAUACCUCUUUAGAUAUCUUCCAUUUAAAGCUCUUGUGAAUUCCUCUCCUUCGAUAGUUUCCAGUAUGUAUGCAUUUCCCGGGGCGCAUCGGCCGAUUUUAUACAGCCCCUCCCAAGUAGGUGACCAUUUACCGAAUUUGGGAUCUUUAGAUCCUAUCGACAGCACCAACUUCCAUACCAAAUCCCCUUGGGUGAAUUGCUUGACUUUGACCUUCUUGUCAUACCACCUGGCCACUCUCUUCUUAUUUUCCUCAAUGCUGAUCAGGGCCCUUAAACGCUGACCCGCCAAAUCGUUGAGCUCCCCUUUCAUGAGGAGGGAAUAAUCAUCGGCCGUCAACUGAUCCUGAAGCGAUGUGCGCCUUGACCCCGUCCUUAAUUCCCAAGGUAAUACUGCCUCAUGACCAUAUACCAACUGAUAAGGAGAUGUUUUAGUGGCCUCGUGGCAGGCCAUCCUGUAAGCCCAUAAAGAUUCAGUUAAAGAUAGGUGCCACUUCUUAGGUUGUUCUUCUAUCUUCCUCUUGAUCAACUUGAUUAUCCCCUUAUUGGAUGAUUCGGCUUGAUCGUUAGCUUGGGCAUAAUAUGGAGAAGAAUUCAACAAUUUAAUCCCCAUAUCGGCGGUGAACUCUUCAAACUCACCUGAGGUGAACAUCGUCCCUUGAUCAGUCGUGAUGGUUUGAGGGAUACCAAACUGAUAAACAAUAUGGUCCCUUACGAAAUCGACCAUAGCGGCCGAUGUCACGGUCUUCAUGUUGGCGCAAAUCAAAAUUUUUCUACCGUGUAAACCAGGAAAACUGUCGUAUAAGGAUCACGGGAUUACCACUCGACGCACUGGAGCGGAAGAUGUAGAAUCGUGUCAGGGCAGCGAAGUCGAUCAGUGUAGUCGAACGUAGUUGAUCACAUCGAUGUCGAGCAGCUCCUCAGCAGCUCGUCCACGUGCAGCAAGAUCGUCUUCGUGCCGCGGCUCGUCGUCGGCUCGUCAUGGCUCGUCAGCGGCUCGUCGUGGCUCGUCGGCGGCUCGUCCAAGUGCUGCAAGUGCAACACCUCCAAGGUAUCCACACGUGCAGGGAGGAAGCGUCGCAAGCCUGACUGCUAGGUCUGCGAGUUGUAAUAGGUGAGGGCGUGGGAGACGCGACAGAUGUGUUUUGCCAAAAGGUAUAAACCCUAUGGCGCCCCCACCCCUCUAUUUAUAGAGGUUCCUGACGGGCCUCUGGGUCCGAGGCCCAUUAGUACUUCUAAACCUAGUCCAACUCGGAUCAUAUCCGAAUUGGGCUUCCAGCCCCUUAAGUGUCUGACCCUAUGGGUUCGGAUACAUAUAGACAUGGCCCGAGUACUCCUACUCGGCCCAAUAGUCGGUAGCGGCCUCUAGCAAGACGUGCAACCUCCCAUACGCACACGAAGAUCAUAUCAGACAAACCAUCACAACAUUAUGUACAUGCUAUUCCCUUUGCCUCACAAUAUUUGGUCUAGCUCCAAGCCGACCGCUCUUUCUCGAUCCUGUGAUUCGGAAUCCCUUUGUAGGUUAACUCUUAACCAUACGUAGCAUGGCCAUGCAUUUUUGGAUCUGAUCACUCGAGGGGCCCAGAGAUAUCACUCUCAAUCAGAGAGGGGCAAAUCCCAUCUUGAUUGACCAUGUCUCAUAGCAUGCUUCUUGACAAACCCGAAAGCUACCUUUUUAACUACCCUAUCACGGUGUAGCGUUUGAUAGCCCCUAAGUAAGUCGAUCCAUAUCUUGAGUACAUGCGACAAUCUCAGGUCUAAGGACAAAGCGUACAUGUUGUGUAAAGAGAGAACUACUUCUUGUGUUGGGUCAGUCCUAACACAUGUCUCCAUAUGUGCCACAUUAUUAGUUUAACAUCUCCAUGUCCAUGACUUGUGAAACAUAAUCAUCAACUAAUACAUGUGCUAGUCUAAUAUUCAUGUGUGUCCUCACAUGAACUUCGACUAAGGACAAUGAACUCCGACUAAGGACAACUUUAGAAUAACCAUACAAGUAAAGAGUUUCACAUACAAUUCACAUAAUUGCAAAUCAAUUCAAGUAGCCUUUAAUGGAUAUUCAAUGAACACAAUAUACAAAUUAUGGAUACAAAUGGAAUAUCAUCAUCUCUAUGAUUGCCUCUAGGGCAUACCUCCAACAGUCUCCCACUUGCACUAGAGUCAAUCUAGAAGGUAUCUAAUACCCAUAGCUCUUACAUGCGCAUCAUGCUUAGCCUGCAGGAGUGGUUUUGUCAACGGAUCAGAAAUGUUCAGAUCCGUGUGUAUUUUGCAUAUCUUGAUCUCACCUCGGUUUAUGAAGUCUCAAAUGAGAUGAAAUCGCCGCAUUACGUGUUUGUUCUUCUGGUGAUUCCUUGGCUCCUUUGCUUGUGCAAUUGCCCAUUGUUAUCACAGUAGAGAUUCAAUGGGUUGGACGCAUUCGGGAACACACCAAGCUCAAUAAGGAAAUUCCUUACCCAAACACCCUCCUUCGCGGCUUCCGAAGCCGCGAUGUACUCAGUUUCUGUCGAAGAAUCGGCCACCGUCUCCUGCUUGGAAAUCUUCCAACUAACAGCACCACCAUUUAGCGUGAACACAAAUCCUGAUUGUGACUUUGAAUCAUCUCUAUCGGUUUGGAAACUAGCAUCGGUGUAACCUGUUACAACGAGCCCCUCCUCACCUCCAUAAACGAGGAACAUAUCUUUAGUCCUUCGUAAGUACUUAAGAAUGUUUUUCACCGCUGUCCAGUGACUCUCACCCGGAUCAGAUUGGUGUCUGCUUGUCAUACUUAGCGCAUAUGAAACAUUUGGGCGAGUACUUAUCAUUGCAUACAUGAUAGAUCCAAUAGCCGAGGCAUAUGGCACUCUACUCAUGCGAUCCUACUCAUCAGCAGUCGAAGGACACCGAGUCUUGCUGAGAUGUAUGCCAUGUGACAUAGGCAAGAACCCUUUCUUCGCCUCUUCCAUGCUGAACCACUUCAACACUUUGUCAAUAUAAGUAUCUUGGCUUAAUCCUAUAAGCCUUCUCGAUCUAUCUCUAUAGAUCUUAAUGCCCAGAAUAUAUGCCGCUUUCCCUAAGUCCUUCAUCGAAAAACUAUUUUUCAGUGAAGCCUUUACGGACUCAAGCAUAGGAAUGUUAUUUCCAAUUAGCAAUAUGCCAUCCACAUAUAAGAUUAGAAAUACUACGAAGCUCCCACUAACCUUCUUGUAAACACAAGACUCUUCUUCGUUCUUGGUGAAGUCAAACCCUCUGACCAUUUCAUCAAAACGAAUGUUCCAACUCCUAGAUGCUUGCUUCAAUCCAUAAAUGGAUCUCUGAAGCUUGCAUACCUCUCCAGCAUUUUUCGGAUCGACAAAACCCUCGGGCUGUAUCAUAUACACGUCCUCAGCUAGGUUUCCAUUCAGGAAAGCUGUCUUGACAUCCAUCUUCCAUAUCUCAUAAUCGAAAUAUGCAGCUAUAGCUAGAAUAAUCUGAAUGGACUUAAGCAUCACUACGGGCGAGAAGGUCUCAUCGUAGUCAACUCCUUGAACUUGUCGAAAACCUUUUGCGACAAGUCGUGCUUUAUAGAUGUGAACAUUUCCAUCCUUGUCCUUUUUCUUCUUAUAGAUCCACUUCCACUCUAUGGCUUUAACACCAUCAGGAGGGUCAACCAAGUUCCAAACUUGAUUGUCUCCCACGGACUCUAUUUCGGAUUGCAUGGCACUUUGGCAUUUUACGGAGUCUGGGUCCAUCAUUGCUUCUGCAUAUGUCGUAGGCUCAUUAUUGUCCAACAAUAAUAUUUCCCUCAUUUCGCGGAGCCUUGCCGACCUUCGUGGUUGUGGCGGUGCUUCUCUUGCCAUGGGUAUCUCAACUUGUUCAGCUACGUUAGCAUCACUCAUUGAUUCUUGCCCAAUCAGCUCAUCUUGAACUUCUUCAAGAUGCACUGUCUUUCCACUCUUUUCUCCUUUGAGAAACUCUUUCUCUAGGAAAACCCCGUUCUGAGCGACAAACACUUUGCCCUCUGACCGGUUCUAGAAAUAAUAUCCCAAAGUUUUCUUUGGAUAUCCCACGAAAAUGCACUUAUCCGACUUUGGUGUAAUCUUGUCCGACUGAAGUCGCUUGACAAACACUUCGCAUCCCCAAAUCUUUAGAAAAGACAAACUCAGAACUUUUCCAGUCCACAUCUCAUAUGGUGUCUUAACUACGGAUUUAGAUGGUACCCUAUUAAGUGUGAAAGCUGCUAUUUCUAGAGCGUAUCCCCAAAAUGACAAUGGUAGGUCCGACUGGCUCAUCAUUGAUCGAACCAUGUCUAACAAAGUUUGAUUACGUCACUCGGAUACACCGUUUCUCUAAGGUGUUCCAGGUGGCGUAAGUUGUGGAACAAUUCCGCAACUCUUUAGAUGAUUGCUAAACUCGUGGCUCAAAUACUCGCCUCCACGAUCAGAUCGUAAGGCCUUAAUUUUCUUGCCACGCUGAUUUUCAACUUCAUUCUGAAAUUCCUUGAACUUUUCAAAGGUUUCAGACUUGUACCUCAUUAAGUAGACAUAGCCAUAUCUACUAAAAUCAUCAGUGAAAGUUAUGAAGUAUUGGAAUCCUCCUCUAGCCGUCGUGCUUAUUGGUCCGCAUACAUCGCUAUGUACGAGUUCCAAUAAGUCUACUUGUCGUUGUCAAGAUUUGCGGAUCAAGACUUAGACUAGUAAAUUUCUUUUAUGCGCGUAAGGCUUCGGAUGGUGGCGUGGGAGACAAGGGGUUAGACUGGUUCGGGCAAAGGAAGGCCCUACGUCCAGUGUCGAGAGCUGCUCGUGUUACCCACGCGGGGGUUCUGUAGUAGGGGUUAUAGGAGGGUGAGAGAGGGAAUGAUCCCAGGUCUCUUGAGUGAGCUCGUGCUCUACGUGAGUGUGGGUGUGUUCUCGUGCUUCAGGGGGAGAGUCCCCUGCCUUAGGACCCCCGGUCCUCCAUUUAUAGCGCAAGAGGGAGCUUGAGGUUACAGUUGAGCCAGGCAUGAGAGGAAGUAAAAGGGAUAAGCCAAGUAAGAAAUAACAUAAGGAGAGGGUCCCAGGGCCGCCGCUCUCGCUCCAGCCUCCGGUCCCUGUCAGCGCGUCCGUCGAGGGGGGCGAUUUCUCCCCGAUCUUGUCGAUGAUCUCCCUGGUCGCCGUCGCCGUCGAGCAUGAUGAUGAGCCUCAGCCUCGGCAUCCGCGCUCGCUGGGGAGGAGGGCUGAUUCUGUUACCCUGCUAAAUACCGUAAGACCCGGACGUCGCGUCCCUAUCACCGGGGGCGCGGGGCGCGAGAGCAAAUGGAGCGCCUUCCAGUGCCGUUCGGUGCGGGUCAUGAGUAACCUGCGGCGAAUCAGAGGGAGCCGCAACGACUGCAGCUCGCGCCGCACAGCCGCGCAUAGGUAUUCAUGACCGGUUUCAUUAGGGACACCGCUCCCUUUCAGCUUGACAGAGCCGCGGCGCAUUUAUGGCGAGAUCGAUUGGGGGACCCACGAGAUCGGUGCCCUGAUCCUCCAGUCCGCGCCCGAGGCAGAUAUUUGUCUUGUGGACCCGAGCGAAUUCGACCCCCGCGCCUAGGGUCGGGCGAGGCGGAGUCUUUGCGACAGGGGUCAGGCGCUCCCGACCCCGGCCCUCUGGGUCGGGCGAGGCGGAGUUUAGUCUUCAAGGGGUCGGGAACGUCCGACCCCAGGACUCCGGGUCGGGCGAGGCGGAACGUGGCCUCUUCCUCCCAUAUUGGGCUGACGAUGAUUUUGCCACCUUAGAUGGGCCUGGGCCUUUAAGUUCUGUCAAUUUCAUGGGCCGGUGGAGAUCAUUGAUAUUUCCCCCCAACACUACUGCUCUCUUAGGAAAAUCUGUGAAAGGCGUCUUGGUCAACUUGCCUAGCAAGCAAGCCUCACAUGUCUCGUAUGAUUCAAAAUCAAACGAAGUUACAAGUCCAUCAGAAUGGAGAUUCUUCAUGUGCUUUUCACUUAUAUGACCCAAACGAUAAUGCCACAAGUAGGUAGGACUCAAAUCAUUAGGCCGAGGCCUUUUAGCACUUACGUUACAGACUGGUGCACCAUCAAGAUUUAAAACAAACAAUCCAUUCACAAUGGGUGCAAAAGCCAUAAACAUAUCAUUCUUAGAGAUCACAAAACCAUUGUUUUCACUCGCAAAUGAAUAACCAUCCUUCAUCAAGCAUGAAUGACACAAAAUGUUUUGACUUAAACUAGGAACAAAAUAAUAAUUAUUCAACUCCAUAAUAAAUCCUGACGGGAGAUGGAGUUGCAUCGUCCCGAUGAUCAACGCAGCAACUCUUACAUUAUUGCCCACGCGGAAAUCAACUUCUCCUCUUUCCACACUUCUACUUCUUAUCAUUCCCUGCAUCGAAUUGCAAAUAUGAGCAACCGAUUCGAUAUCAAAUACCCAAGAAUUAAUAAUCGUAUCAGUGAGAAAUAUAUUGUCUAUAACAUUAAUAACAAGCAUACCUGAGGUGGAAGUACUCUUACUUCCGCCAUUCUUCAACGAAGCUAGGUACUGCUUGCAAUUUCUCUUCCAGUGACCAAGUUCAUGACAGUAAAAUCACUCUUUUUCUGGAGCAGGUCCAGGUCCAGCUUUAACCUUAGGCGCUGGGUUUGGCUUGGACAAUCCAGCUUUGCCCUUCUUCUUCCAAGAAUUGGCCUUCUUCUUAAACCUAGGCUUGUUCUGUAUAGCCAUCACAUGGCUGCUACUAGCGCUUUUCAUGAUGUCAACUUCUGCUGUCUUGAGCAUACCACACAGUUCAUUCAGACCCUUCUUCGUCCCAUGCAUAUAGUAGUUCGAGAUGAAGUUCCCAUAGCUAGGUGGAAGAGAUGAAAGAAUGAAGUCAGUGGCCAACUCUUUGCCCAUUGGGAAGCCCAGCUUCUCCAAUCGCUGAGUGUAACCAACCAUCUUUAUUACAUGUGGUCCUACUGCUGAGCCUUCUGCUAGCUUGCACUCCAGAAAGGCUUUGGACACAUUGAAUCUUUCAGUCCUAGCCUGUGUCUAGAACAUGUCCUUGAGCGCCACGAUCAUAUCGUGCGCCUCAUGGUUUGUUUCAAACUGCAUCUGCAGCUCGGGUUCCAUGCAAGCAAGCAUAAGGCAGCUUACCUCAAGAUUAGCAUCAAAUGCCUUCUUGUAGCAGCCUUAACGGCAGCAGAUGCAUCAUCAGCAAGUACUUGUGGUAGUGGGGUGUCUAGAACAUCUUCCUUUUUAUCGGCCCUGAGAACAAUUUUUAGGUUACGGAUCCAAUCCGAGUAGUUUGUUCCAUUCAACUUGUCCUUCUCAAGGACCGACCGCAAAGCAAACGGUGUGGUGUUGCUCAUUUAAUCUACAACAAAAGUAAUGCAAAAUACACUAAGACAAACAUAUCCAUGAUGGAGCAAAUGAUAUUAAACUAUUUAACAGAAUCUACUCCCACUAAAAUCAAUAUCCCUCUAUUGAUACUUGGUGAUUCAAGAUCCACAACUAAUAAGUCUACUAGUGAGCUUUAGCAUCACUGCUAGCAAACAAGGUAGAUCGGUAAGCAACUUCUUGUUAAUCAUAUCACAUAUGACUCUUGUUGUUGGGUGACAUCUCCAUGUCUCGGCGCCCAACCUUUAUGCCCCAAGGUCCUUAACCGUUAAGAUAACAUUGUUAAGCAAACCAACCCUUAUGCGUGUAAGUGUCCGACACAAACCCGUCUAGUCAAGGAAAACUAGUGGUACCCUAAUUUCAUAGACCCACCACCAAUUGUACAAGACAUGGGACGGUGCAAGUUUUAGUUGGGAGGGCAUACUAACUUAAACUUUGUGAGGGAUUGUUCUACUUCUAACAUCACAGCAUGCAGAAAGUAAAACAUAAAGAAUAGCAUUCACACAGUUGUGACACAGUAUGGCCCAUUUUCUAAUGAUGAUCUCCAUCUCCACAGAACCUAUUCACCAUGGUGAUCUCCAUCUUCAUGUUCCAUGAGCGCCAUUCUCCUGGUGAUGAGUCCUCCAAGAACUAGAACAUGCUAUUACGCCUAAUAGCUAGUAAAGAAGCUAGUAAUAAAGAUUACAUAGUUGCUUGGAUCAUCACAGAUUGGUACGCAAACCAUUAAAUACAUUAAAGUGACAACACAUAUGGCUCCAACCGUGUUGCCGUACGCACGACACGCAGGUCACGAAUGAGUUACACACAUGCAUCACAUACACAAGGGGGCCAUACUGAUCACAAGAUACAUACAUCCUGCAAAACAGAGUUAGGUGUUCUAAUGUUCCAAACUUCAGAGGCUCGAAACUCCAUCUUCCAAGCUGAAUUUGGGAAAUCUAAUUUUGCCAAAAAUGGCAAAGCGGUUGAAUUUUAUGUGUAACUUUUUCUGUAGAUCAAUUUACAUAUAAAAUUCACCCCGAUCCGAGAUCGUACCAAAAAGUUACGGCUGAUUUACCGAAGCACACGCCCAUGGCAAAAUCCCGACCCGGUAGUAGAUCCAAUCUACUAUUGCACAUCUCAUGCGCCUGGCGUAUGAACCUGGAUUUCGAUUCGAUCAAUCACAUUGAUCUUCGCUCGCUGCAACUAGCAUUACGUGUAUCACUUAACUCCGAUGGCGGAAACCCGACCAGUAGGAGUAUGUCGUUACACAACCAUUGCAGCAAGAACACGAAACCAGGACAUAGAUCAAACUGAAAACUCGCAUAUCUCCAUAUGCACACAUCCCGAAUUCAAAACUAAACAGCUACGGCUCUGAUACCACUGUUGGGAUACGAGGUAGGCUACACUAGCACAAAUCAAAAAUUUUCUACCGUGUAAACCAGGAAAACUGUUGUAUAAGGAUCAAGGGAUUACCACUCGACUACACGCGGAAGAUGUAGAAUCGCGUUGGGGCAGCGAAGUCGAUCAGCGUAGUCAAACGUAGUCGAUCACGUCGAUGUCGUGCAGCUCCUCAGCAGCUCGUCCACGUGCAGCAAGAUUAUCUUCGUGCCACGGCUCAUCGUCGGCUCGUCGUGGCUCGUCGGUGGCUCAUCCAAGUGUUGCAAGCACAAUACCUCCAAGGUAUCCACACGUGCAGGGAGGAAGCGUUGCAAGCUGGACUGCUAGGUCCCAAGUUGCAACAGGCGAGGGCGUGGGAGAUGCGGCAGAUGUGCUUCGCCAAAAGGUGUAAACCCUAGGGCGCCCCACCCCUCUAUUUAUAGAGGUUCCUGAUGGGCCUCUGGGUCCGAGGCCCAUUAGUACUUCUAAACCUAGUCCAACUCAGAUCAUAUCCGAAUUGGGCUUCAAGCCCCUUAAGUGUGUGACCCUAUGGGUUCGGAUACGUAUAGACAUGGCCCGAGUACUCCUACUUGGCCCAAUAGUCAGUAGCGGCCUGUAGCAAGACGUGCCACCUCCCAUACGCACACGAAGAUCAUAUCAGAUGAACCGUCACAACAUUAUGUACAUGCUAUUCCCUUUGCCUCAUGAUAUUUGGUCUAGCUCCAAGCCAACCGCUCUUUCUCGAUCCUGUGAUUCGGAAUCCCUUUGUAGGUUAACUCUUAACCGUACGUAGCAUGGCCAUGAAUUUUCGGAUCUGAUCACUCGAGGGGCCCAGAGAUAUCACUCUCAAUCAGAGAGGGCCAAAUCCCAUCUUGAUUGACCUUGUCUCACAGCAUGCUUCUUGACAAACCCGAAAGCUACCUUUUUAACUACCCUAUCACGGUGUAGCGUUUGAUAGCCCCUGAGUAAGUCGAUCCACAUCUUGAGUACAUGCGACAAUCUCAGGUCUAAGGACAAAGCGUACAUGUUGUGUAAAGAGAGAACUACUUCUUGUGUUGGGUCAGUCCUAGCACAUGUCUCCACAUGUGCCCACAUUAUUAGUUUAACAUCUCCAUGUCCAUGACUUGUGAAACAUUGUCAUCAACUAAUACAUGUGCUAGUAUAAUAUUCAUGUGUGUCCUCACAUGAACUCCGACUAGGGACAACUUUAGAAUAACCAUACGAGUAAAGAGUUUCACAUACAAUUCACAUAAUUGCAAAUCAAUUCAAGUAGCCUUUAAUGGAUAUUCAAUGAACACAAUAUACAAAUCAUGGAUACAAAUGGAAUAUCAUCAUCUCUAUGAUUGCCUCUAGGGCAUACCUCCAACACUUCAACGGAACUGCCUCCACCCACUUGGUAAAAUAAUCAGUAGUCACUAAUAUAAACUUAUGUCCUUUGCUUGAUGGAGGAUAAAUCUGUUCGAUGAGGUCUAUUCCCCAACCUCUAAACAGCCAUGGUUUGAUUAUCGAAUUCAUAGCCGAGGCUGGUGCGCGCUGCAUGUUGCCAAACUUCUAACAAUCUUGACAGCCUUUAUAAUAUUUGAAGCAAUCUUCGAGUAUCGUCGGCCAAUAAUACCCAUUGUUUCUGAUCAUCCACUUCAUCUUGUGAGCCGAUUGAUGAGCUCCGCACAUGCCCUCGUGAAUUUCUCCCAUCAGGACCUUUGCUUCUUCCGUUCCCAGACAUUUGAGCAGAACUCCAUCAAUUGUUCGGUAAAACAAAUCAUCUUCGAGCAGCACAUAUUUUGUGGCCUGAAAGCGUAUUCGCCGAUCCACUUUCUUGGAUGGAUCUUUCAAGUAAUCGGCAAUCUCCUUUCGCCAAUCAUCGGCUGCAAGUUCCAGAGUCAUGGCGCCUUGAAUCGGCCGAUACCCGGACGCAUGUUGGGCAAGCCUAUUGGCCUUUUCAUUGUAAUUUCUGGGAAUAUGCUCAAUAACCGCAGACUUGAAUUCCUUUAAAAGUUGGAGGCAAUCUUCGUAGUAAAUCCUCAAGACAUCGUCUUUGCAUUCAGAUUUCCCCGUUAAUUGAUCCACAAUGAGCAUGGAAUCCCCAAAAAUUUCCACCGCAUUGGCUUUGAUCUCUCUCAACAAUUGAAUACCUUUUAGGACAGCUCGGUAUUCCGCCUGAUUAUUGGUUGCGCAUGCCUCUAUCGGCAGAGAGAAAUCAUAACUUGCCCCCCGAGACGAUAUGAGGACGAUGCCGAUUCUUAAUCCGGCCCCACAUGAAGAACCAUAGAAGUACAGAGUCCAUGAGACUGGUUCAACGACAGCGAUUUCUGGUCCGCAAUGCUGAGCCACGAAAUCGGUCAUGACUUGGACCUUGAUAGCUUUGGCCGAUUCGUACUUUAGGUCAAACUCUGACAGAGCUAGGUUCCACUUUCCAAUCCGUCCUUUCAAAAUUGGCAAUGAUAGCAUUCACUUUACUACGUCAUCCUUGCAUACGACUAUGCACUCUGCCGAUAACAGGUAGUGUCUGAGCUUGAUACAUGAGAAAUACAGACACAGGCACAGCCAUUCCACUGGGGAAUAUCUUGUUUCGGCGUCCAGGAGUCUUCUGCUGACAUAAUAUAUUACCCGUUCUUUUCCUUCGAACUCCUGUACUAGCGCCGAUCCGAUAGCCUGUUUGUCGGCCGAUAAGUAUAGUCUGAACGGCAUGUCAGCCUGUGGCGGGACUAAUAUAGGUGGCGAAAUCAGAUAUUGCUUGAUGUUUUCCAACGCUUUUCGCUGCUCUUCUCCCCACACGAAUUCCUGAUCGGGUUUCAACUUCAACAAAGGAGUGAAAGCUUGAAUAUGCCCGGACAAGUUGGAUAUGAAUCUUCUGAUAAAGUUGACCUUGCCGAUUAGGGACUGUAGCUCAGUCUUAUCCUGCGAGGCUACAACCUUGUUAAUGGCAGUUAUGAUCUUCCGGUUGACUUCUAUCCCGUGCUCAUAAACCAUGAAUCCUAGGAAUUGUCCGGCCGACACACCAAACGCACACUUGUUUGGGUUCAUUUUCAACCCAUGCUUCCUUGUGCACUCCAACACUUCUUGCAAAUUGGCCAGAUGCUCCUAAUGUCCCUUUGACUUGACCACGACGUCAUCGAUGUAGAUUUCUACCAGUACACCAAUAAGCUUGUGAAAUAUAUAGUUCAUAGCCCAUUGAUAUGUGGCGCCGGCGUUUUUUAAUCCGAAGGUCAUCACUACCCACUCGAAUAGACCGAGGUGGCCCAGGCACCUGAAAGCCGUCUUCAAAAUAUCUUCUUCGGCCAUUAAUAUUUGAUUGUACCCAGUAUUACCAUCCAUGAAACUGAUGACUUUAUGUCCUACGGCGGCGUCUAUCAAGACAUCGGCUGUCGGUAUUGGAUACCCAUCCAUCGGCGUAGCCUGAUUAAGGUUCUUGAAGUUGAUGCAUACGCGCAACUUUCCAUUUUUCUUGUAUACGGGUACAAUAUUAGAAAUCCACUCGGCGUAACGGCACUGCCGAAUAAAUCUCGCUUCAAUCAAUCUUCUAAUCUCGGCCUUUAUAUCAGGUAGAAUUUUAGGGUUGCAUCAUCGUGCAGGCUGCUGAUACGGCCGAUAUCCUGGUUUUAUAGGCAACCGGUGUUCGACAAUGAAUCGGUCUAGACCAGGCAUCUCAUGGUAUUCCCAAGCAAAACAAUCUUUAAAAUCUUUCAAUAAACUUGUCAAUUUACAUUUGUACUCGGGAUCCAAGCUAGCACUAAUAUACGUUAGCCUUGGUUUGCUGCCAUCGCCUAAGUCCACCAUCUCCAAUGAAUCGGCCGACGUAAAUCCGUGCCCAAGCUUCCCGUCUUCUCGGAUGAACUGAUCCAUCUAAUUUGAAUCUUUAGAGCCGACUGCUCGGAUCGACUGUAGGCCAAAAUCGGACACUUUCAGGAAAUCGGUGUCCCAAGCUCUACCAGAUAUGCACUUAACGUGUUCGCAGCUCCACUGUUGCGCGUCGGCCGCAGCAACACUGUAGGCGGAAUCGGCGGUGACUAUCUCGAUGUUGUUGCCGACCCACUGUACGAGGCAUUGGUGCAUUGUAGACGGGAUGCAACAAUUCACGUGUAUCCAAUCGUGAACGAGCCACAUGUUGUAGGACCCUUUGCCAUUAAUAAUAAAGAAAGUAGUGGGAUGGGUCUUACUGCCGUUGGUGAGGUCGACGCAGAGUGCUACGCGGGCGGGGGAUACGUUGCCCUCGAAAUCCUUGAGCAUCAUAUCCGUCUUGGUCAGAUCUUCAUCACUUUUGCCCAAUUUUUGGAACAUAGCAUAUGGCAUGAUAUUGACUGCGGUGCCUCCAUCCACCAGUAGCCUAGUGAUAGGUCGUCCGUUAACGUGUCCUUUGAGGAACAGAGCCUUGAGAUGUUGUCGUUUUUUGUCUUCUGGUUUCUCAAAAGUGGCUGUCAUUGGCUCCCAAUUGCGCCAUCUACUCUUCCAUCCUUGUCGUGUUGUCCCGAGCGGUGGGUGCCAUGAACUUCAUCGGCAAGAUGAACACCAUGCUGACGUCAGCUGCCAAUUCCUGAUUGUUGCCUUCCUCAUUGUUGUUUCUUCUGGGGCGCUAGACUCGAGACCUGUCACCUUUCUUAUUCACCAUCUGCCUCUGCUCUUCUUCUUGUUGUUCCCAUUGGUGCAGACAUUGGAUCCUUCAUUUUUGGGAUUUGGUCAAUCCAUUAGGGCACCAUCUGGGGUUCACCGGUUUGGCCGGCGGUUUGGUGCGCUCCCAGUCUGGUUCUUGCCCUAGGGGGUUUUCAUCUGACACCUUAGCGUCGGCAAUGCCUUCUAGCCGAUUGUGUGCGCUGGCUCUGCCCCCCAAUCGCUUGCACUGGUCAACCCUUCCCCCCGGCCAAUCAUACUGUUCAAGUCUGCCCCUUGGCCGAUCAUACCGAUCAACUCUGCCCCCAGCCGAUCACGCACUGAAAGGCGCCGAUCCUCUUGUUCACGCCAGUUUCUGCUGAUCGGCUCUGAUCCUCUGUCUCUAGAGCGUGACCUCUUGAACGGGUGAUUGUCGUGAUAUGGACUGCUGCACUCAGGGCAAUUAUUGGGCGAUGGUAACCUGAGGUUAUUUUCCCAGCAAUGGAUGAAGAAUGGGCAUCGCCAAUGAUCUUCGUGUCGGUGCAUCAUCUCUUCGCGACGUCUCGAACUUUCCUGCUGCCGCUAAUAUCUGUUGAGCAAGAAUUGGGAGGUGAUGGGUCUAUGCGGUCUCUCCGAUUCUUCACCCUCAUCUUCGACCCGUCUCUUCCCUUUGACAUCUUCAACCGUGGCCUGAUUUCUGGGGUCCACGGCGCCGCUUCUCUUAGCCGAUUCCGACAUCAGUACCUUGGUUUGAAGCGCGUUUCUUCCCGCAUCAACCAUGUUAGUAGGGAAAGGAUGCUGAUCAAUCUUCAUCGGCUUUGCUGGCUUCGCUAGGACUUCAAAUUUGAGUUUGCCUUGCUCAGUGGCUGACUGUAUCUGCUGACGGAAGAUUUUGCAUUCAUUUGUGUCGUGAGACAUGGCAUUGUGCCACUUGCAAUAUUUCAUCGUUUUGAGCUGCUCGACCGAUGGAAUGGUGUGGUAAGGUGAGAGCUUGAUCUGCCCCUCUUAGAGAAGUAAAUCGAAGAUCUUGUCGGCCUUUGACAUGUCAAAACCGAACGCUUCUGGUUCUUUCUUCCCGAACGCGCGUGAUAUCAGCUUUUUUCCUUUUACGUAUUCUACUAGGCCGAUUUCCGCUUCCUCUUCAGACUCAGAUCCUUCCAAGCAUGCCACCUUCUUCUGAAAAUUCCUCCGUUGGUCGAAAGGGCGUAUUUCUUGACCGGCCAAUCGGUGGACGAUUUGACUUAAGCUGUCAAACUCCCCGGAGGCUUACUUCUCUUUGAUGUGUGGCAGGAGACCUUGGAAGGCGAUAUCGGCCAGCUGAGCGUCGGUCAGAACUAGGGUGUAGCAUUUGUUUCUGACCUCUCGAACCUUUGCACGUAAUUGGUCACUGGUUCGUCGCUCCUCUGCCUGAGGCUGGUCAAAUCUGAGAGCUUCAUCUCAUGGACUCCCGCGUAGAAGUACUUAUGGAACUGCUUCUCCAGAUCGGCCCAAGUAACGAUGGAAUUGGGCGGUAGCGUAGUGAACCAUUGGAAAGCCGACCCGGACAGGGAUGACGAGAAUAGUCGUACCCGCAGAGCAUCUUGUGUGGCGUCCUCUCCGCACUGGAUGAUGAAUCUAUUUAUGUGCUCCACAGUUGAGGUGUCAUCCAGUCCCGAAAACUUGGUGAAGUCAGGAACUUUGUACCGAUAGGGAAACGGCAGUAGAUCGUAGGCAGGUGGGUAUGGCGUCUUGUACGUAUAGGUUUGUACCUUCGGCUUCAACCCGAAUUGGUCUUGAAUCACCUCCGCUAUCCUUGAUGUCCAAUCCACUUGCUGCUGAUGAACAACUGGUUGAGGGAUCGGCACAUGUUGAUGGAUCGGCGGCGGGAUGGCCGGGUGAUGGAUCAAAGCGUGCGGCGGAUUUUGUGGCAGCGUGGCCGACUGAGCAGUUGACAGUUGGUGGCGUAGCGAAUCUAUCGUUCUAUCGUACAACAUCAUUGGUGCCGUGCUUUUGAGUGUUUCCGUAGUGUCUGCUCCCCUGCCGAUUUCUGAUGAGGCCGGUUGAUGUUGUGGGACCGUCGGCCGGAUAGCCGAUUGGAAUGGUGCUUGGAUCGGAGAGCUUCCAUAACUGGUUGAUUGGUCCAAACCAGCCGCCAUCGCUGGUGCCCCCCAUAGUACUGAGUUUGAGGGCAGUGAUUGCAUGGGGGAAACCUGGGUAGGCUGAGGCGGCGCUUGCGAGUGAAAGCAUGGCGCGCCGUUGUAUCCUGGAGGCAUUGAAGUAUUGUAUCCUCUAUGUUGCAUUGGUAUCGGCUGAGGAGCUGAGUGAGAUGUGCCUGGUAGGCUUCUGAUUGGAGCUACAAUGGGCGGGGCGUACGCCGGCCCCUGAUACCCCUAUGCUACUCCGCUGACCAGGGAACUGAUGACGGCAUUGUAUACCGUGUUGGUCAUUACUGAAGAUUGGUCGAUGAAAGCCUGGUAGACGGACUGCUAAAUCAUAUCGGACAUCUUGCCCGAGUCCUCAGCGAUGGUGAUUUGGCGGGGAGUUGGAAGAGGAGCUUUCUUGAUGGUUUCCCCGCUUCUGGUACGACUGAAAGAUUGCAAGCAUGUCUUCCUGUAUUCUUCUAGGUGUCUUGCCAAUUCUUCUUUCUAGUCGUCCUUGAGAUCUGUUUCUGUAACCUUGAUGACGUUGUCUUCGGAGAUUUCGGCAGCUUUUGACAUGUUGGAUGUUGUGUUGGUCCCACCGAGCAUGCCAAAAGUGUGUUGGCACUAAAAACCAGCCGACGGUCUUCAGCGUUGGACACACGAUCUGGGAGAAUCUGCUUAACUCCUGUUCCGGUUAUCGCCCAGGUGCAGUUCACAUGGUGUGCCAGUCAAUCUGACCUGUUGAUUGACAAGGAAAUAAAGAAAUUAAAUUCCAGGGGCUACGAUCGGCUAGAGUUCUGAUCUGCUUUUAAAGCGAGUCGGCGAAUCGGCCGAUUCACUGCAGAGAUAAUCGGCUUAGUAGAACAGCCGAUACCACGUAGCGAUUGCGAAGUAAAACCACUAGAGCAGACUAAACAACGCUACAAAUGCAACACUUGAAAUAAAUCUAAUCGGCUAUAUGGCGAUAAAUAAGAAUAACAAUAAUGAAGCCGACAAUUCAAAUCUCAAGCUGGAUAACUGGUGAUAAAAACUAGAGCAAUAGAUAGAACCUAUAAUUCUAGUUAAUAUCGAUAACUGGUGAAUAAAUCUAAACGAAACAACAGCGAUGCGCCCGAAGUUAAAGCUUAGAUAUUACUCGAUAAGCGGAACUUACAGAAUCAGCCGGAGAUUGUGUCGAUGCAAUCCUGCCAACCCGUAUGAACUCGUGAAAGAAAAAAUGUUUUGGCGAAGUCGCCGACUUGAAAGUAAAGUACGAUGAAAAAGUAGAUUUGUUGUAUUGAUUGAUGUGUCUUUACAAAUCUCUGAAGAUGGCUAUUUAUAGCCUGUUACAACUAAUUUCCUAACCGACUAGGAUCUAUCUCUAAUUUUAAACGAAAAUAAAUAUUUACAAACACAACUCGUACCGGAGUUGGUUAUCAUACUCCCACGGGCCAAUCUUUCUCUAUCUUCUUUUUCUGGCCCACCUUAAGCCCAUAUUGGCCCACUCGCUCCAGCCAUCCAAUCGGCCGAUCCCCACCAACUCCGUCUGCCAAUCGCUCGAAACACUGUAGCGCCAAUCGGCCAAUUCCCAAUCGUAACCUUUUAAUCUACCGCAUCGGCCGAUCCUUUCCUCUCUUGACGUCGAUCCAAAACGUGUCAAAAUCUGGCAUCAACAAAAUGAUAUAGUGUAACCGGGAUAAAAUUUAGGAAACAAACUUUUGCAUAGAGAUAAAGGUAUAGAAUUAUUACAAGCCUAGCAUGUCUUGCAUGUCUCGGUACUCCAUCGGAUCUUUCCUCAACGAAUCAAAGACAGUGACGUGGCUUCUUUCAGACUCAAUUAUAAUGAGGAUUCAGUGGAAACUGCGUACGUAAAUGUUCAUACAUAUUACAGCUAACUAACAUUAAUCAGGUAAGGAAAAAGAAAACGAAAGUAGACGGUAUACACACACUUACUUGAAGUUGUAUGGAAGUAGUAUGAAAUCCUUGAAUUUUUGUUUGUCUAGGAAAUUGUAUACUUCCACCAAGAUUUUUUCCGACGAUACCUCCCCUUGGAUCCGACUGGUAGAUUUGUGUACUAACCACUGAUGGCAACAUCAUAGCGCGUGAACCACGAGGGCAGGAACAGUGACCUGGCCAAGUAAGGUGGGCGCUCAGACAUCGUGCAUUAAGUCUGAGGUGACGACUCUCUGCUUUAUUCCUGUUCGAUUGAAUUUUCAAAGAGAUCAUUUGAGUUCCUUCAACUUCUACAGUGGUUCAUUUCACGCGUAAAUUCAGGCCCGUGGUUGGACCUCGAGUAAACUUAGAAUGAACCACUUGAUAAGUUGAAGGACCAGAUGGGAAUGCUGGAAUAGUUUAAGAACCCAUGAUGCAUGCAUUUCACUCUUUCUUUCAACAGUUAAAUAUGCAUCCAUCGGCCAUGCUUUGUUAAGUACCUGGAUUUAUUACAUAAUGUAGCAUUUCUCAUCUAACUAUUACCGUAAGGUUUCCAUACACUGCACAAGACCUUCAUGAACUCUUGAUUGCUUUUUGAAACGCCGAAUGCACGACCGUUAUUAACAAUGAGAUAUUUGUUAGUUCUGGUGCUAACAAGUAGGCCUAACCAUGAUACAGACCCAAGCAGGAGAUAAAAGGAAUAAGAAAAAUAGAAGAAAUGGGUAUUUCCUAUUGGCAUAAAUUCAGAUAGCUGAAGCAAAAGAUAUGUUAACCCUGAAUAAACAAUGAUAAUAAAUUAUGCUAAGCAACCAAAAAUUAUAUGCAGUUAAUUUAGAAAACAAUUAUUUUACUACACUAAAUAUCUUGAUAAUACUAUAAUUUUUCUAGAAUUAAAUAAAACUAGAAAAUAUUGCAUUAAUUUACCGUUAUCAUUCACAUUCCAAAAUAAUAAAUUUUGGGGUGUGACACUAACACAUCUGACGUUGCUGCAAAUUAUGAUAAUGAUGCACCAUGUUAUUCAUUGCUUUGCAGAGAUACUUUCUUUUGACAUGGUCCUAUAUAUGUCUUGCCAUUUGCAUCCUGCUGUCACCAACCUUGUUUAGGAAUGGAAUGAUGAGAUGGAGUUGAGAGGACGAUUGCAAUUCAAGAACGGAAGGAUGAUGAAAACGUGAACACACUAGCUGCGAACGAUCCUGCGUCAGUGUAUACCGUCGGUGCUUGCCGUUAUUCUGCCAUUGUAAAAGUGAACCGUGGGCUCUUGUGAGUGUCCACAUGCGUCAGUGUCUUUUUGGUCAGGCAUCCGUGUGGCAGGGGUGUUUGGUUCUAUUUGCUUAUUUUUAGCACGUGUCACAUCAAAUGUUUAGAUACUAAUUAGAGGUAUUAAACGUAGACUAUUUACAAAACCCAUUACAUAAGUGGAGGCUAAACGGCGAGACGAAUCUAUUAAGCCUAAUUAAUCCAUCAUUAGCAAAUAUUUACUGUAGCAACACAUUGUCAAAUCAUGGAUUAAUUAGGCUUAAUAGAUUUGUCUCGCCAUUUAGUCUCCACUUAUGUAAUCGGUUUUGUAAAUAGUCUACGUUUAAUACUCCUAAUUAGUAUCUAAACAUUUGAUGUGAUGGAUGCUUAAAUUUAAAUUUAAGUUAGUGAAUCAAAACAGGCCUAAGCCUGUCCUGGUGCUCAGCUUGUCUUUGUCUGUGACAGGCGCCAGUGUCUGAGCACAUGCAAUGGCUCAGACAUAGCUUUUCUGCUGGCCGACACUUGUAGACGGCCGACACUAGCCUUAAUAAAAAAAUUUCGGUUGUUUUUAUUUAGGACUAAAAGUAAUCUUCAAUAAAAAGCUCAUCUUAGUCCAGAUUGAUGUUACAAAUAUAUGGCUUAAAGAUCUAGGAUUAAAAGCUGAGAUCUUUAGUCCUGAAUAAUUAAUCCCGAUUAGGAAAACUGAAAUAUACAAGGUUUCCCAACCGGAACUCUCGUUUCUCGACCAAUGUCAUGACAUUUUCUGUGCUAGGCCGGGACGACUGUGCCUGACAAUGAUAAUAACAUCGCAUGCAAUGCCCCAUCAAGCUAGCUCACAGAAACGCGCAGGCUACCUGUUUUAUUUCUGAUGAUGUGUUCAGUAGUGUUCUAACAUUUUUGUAUUAUAAAUGAUAGAUGCUGGCUGGUGCCCGACAAUGACAGUAACAUUAUUGCACGCUGAUCAAGCUGGCAGAGUGACUGAGUGGGCACAUAUAACUUGCUGCCCUCGAUGUGACCGGGAGCAGCCUCUCUAUGAAUUAUUGGUCCAUUAGCAACCGGAAUCUUGAGAAGAAAUACCAAGGUCAAUUGAGGACACACGGUAAUAACGAUCAACUGUUUGAAAAGAUGAACAAAUAGAAGCUCAGAUGGAUUGACAGCUACCCACGUAAAAGCUCAUCCAAUGUAUGGUUAGAUGUGCAUGAACAAAUACGUUUUGAACCGCACCUAAAAGUCUUUAUUUUUAGGGCAUCCUAACCCUACUAGAAAACAAGACAUCGAUCCUCAACAAAAAUUUCGGAACGAAUUGACCCGGAACUAAUACUGAUUCCGGCUAGUAUUAGUCUCAGGUCUAAAAUUUCAUAGUUCUAGAAGGCCUUUUAGCCCUUUAGUGCCAAACGGGACUAACACCUACCUUUAGUGCCGGUUUGUAAUACCACCUUUAGUGCCGGUUUGUAAUACCAACCCGGGACUAAUGCUUGCAACAUAAUCCUUAAGUAGAGACACUUUUAUAUAAAUAUUUUACAAUUUACGCGUGACUUGUGAUUUGCGACGUGCGCGUGUGGGGGAGCCUCUCAGGAAUUUCUAAUAGUUUUUGGCGCAAAACUCUUUAAUCCCGAUUGGUAUUACCAACCAGAACUAAAGAUAUGGCUUUAGUUCCGGGUGAAAGAUCUGAGACUAAAGGUCACGAUCUUUAGUCCUGAAUGAUUAGUUUCAAUUGGGAAAAUGAAGAUAUAUGAGGUUUUCCAACCGCACUAUGCUCGUUUCUCUACACAUUUUCCGUGCUAGGUCGGGACGCCGGACGACUGUGGCUGACAACGACAAUAACAUCGCAUGCAAUGCCCCACUUCAUAGCUUGUCUUCUGGCCACAUCAUACCGCAUGAACCACGAGGCGACGACUCUGCUUUAUUCCUAUUUCUUUCAACAGUUAAACAUCCAUCGGUCUAGGGGUGUUUGGAUCCCAGGCUAAAUUUUAACCCCUAUCACAUCGAAUAUUUGACACUAAUUAGGAGUAUUAAACAUAGGCUAAUUACAAAACCAAUUUCACAACCCCUAGACUAAAUCGCGAGACGAAUCUAUUAAACCUAAUUAGUCCACGAUUUGACAAUAUGGUGCUACAGUAAACAUUCGCUAGUGAUGGAUUAAUUAGGCUUAAUAGAUUCAUCUCGCGAUUUAGCCUAGGGGUUCUGCAAUUAGUUUUGUAAUUAGCUCAUGUUUAGUCCUCCUAAUUAGCAUCCGAAUAUCUGAUGUGACAUGGAUUAAAUUUUAGCUCCAGAUCAAACACCUACCUGGAGUUAAACAGUGGGCAUGGUAGGUGCUCAGCCAUCGCACGUGUUGAAGAACGUGCGUGGUCUUAGCUAGUCUCCUAGAGGCAAUAUAAUCAGUCACCGGAAACUUUUAUUGCACAGCUCAGCAAGCUCAUCUUGCAGCGCGUUCGGCAGCGCGUUAAGCCGCUGCUGCGGCUGCUGGCUGCCGCAGCCGGUGCUGUAGCGCUACAGCAGCAGCAGCCGGUGCUGUAGCGCUGCAGCUGCUGCUGCCGCCGCUAAGCCUGGUAGUAACGGCCGUUUGGCCCGCCGGGUGUGCGUACUAAUGGGCCGUUUGGGCCGUAUUAGUUGCAAGAUUAAAUUUAGUCCGGUUGCAACUCAAAUUUAUGCAGGAAACUAAUGAAGCAAACCGAAUUUGUGUACUCUAUUUUACAAAAUGAAACAAUUAAAAUGUGUGGGACUACAAAUAAUAAUAGAAUUGUUCAUACUUGUAAAAUAUAAGGUUGUUAAAAAACAGAAAUUAAAUUGUUCCUGUACCGAAACGAGCGAGAGAGCGGUAACGACUUAUCCUUACCAAUUUCCAAAGUGGUUUCCGUACUGAUACGCUACUACGUUCGAAAAUAAAUUUUGUAGCGGUUAAUGCAACUACAGUAUCUAAAUGGUGCGCGCCAAACAUAACAAACACACUCGAGCUUACGAACGUACACACACCAUAUUACAAAUUCGUACAUACAAAUUACAACAUGAUUUACACACAUACAUCCCGCGUCUACAUCAACGAGAUGCCCGCAGCAAUCCAAUCUCGGACACUGCCCAUAUCAGGUGUAGCAUUAGCUGCCACCCAUUCGGACACCGCAUAAUCCGGUUCUCGCGCCCUGGACGAUCUUGCAGAACUGUCAUUUCCAACGUCCAACAAAUAAUUAUGCAGUGCAAAGCAAGCAAUAACAAUCUUGGUUGGUCGUUCUCUCGAAUAUAGUGGCACUUCCCGCAGAAUGGUUUUUUAGUUUUUGUAUGUGUGUGUGUGUGCUGCUGUGCGUGUGCGUGUGAUGUGUGUGUGUGCGGGCAUCUCGUGAUGUAGANNNNNNNNNNNNNNNNNNNNNNNNNNNNNNNNNNNNNNNNNNNNNNNNNNNNNNNNNNNNNNNNNNNNNNNNNNNNNNNNNNNNNNNNNNNNNNNNNNNNAUUUGUAUGUACGAAUUUGUAAUAUGGUGUGUGUACGUUCGUAAGCUCGAGUGUGUUUGUUAUGUUUGGCGCGCACCAUUUAGAUACUGUAGUUGCAUUAACCGCUACAAAAUUUAUUUUCGAACGUAGUAGCGUAUCAAUACGGAAACCACUUUGGAAAUUGGUAAGGAUAAGUCGUUACCGCUCUCUCGCUCGUUUCGGUACAGGAACAAUUUAAUUUCUGUUUUUUAACAACCUUAUAUUUUACAAGUAUGAACAAUUCUAUUAUUAUUUGUAGUCCCACACAUUUUAAUUGUUUCAUUUUGUAAAAUAGAGUACGCAAAUUCGGUUUGCUUCAUUGGUUUCCUGCAUAAACUUGAGUUGCAACCGGACUAAAUUUAACCUUGCAACUAAUGUGGCCCAAACGGCCCAUUAGCACGCACACCCGGCGGGCCAACGGCCGUUACUACCAGGCUUAGCGGCGGCAGCAGCAGCAGCUGCAGCGCUACAGCACCGGCUGCGGCAGCCAGCAGCCGCAGCAGCGGCUUAACGCGCUGCCGAACGCGCUGUUGUUUGCCAACAAGUAGAGCAAGCGAGCACAGCGCGACGCACACAGCCAUUGCGAGCAUGGAGAGCCGAAGCCUCCCCAUGGCAGCAGCCACCUCCAUGUCUGUAGCUAUCGCCAUUGUCUUCCUGAUCUACACAGCCGCACCACUGGGAGACGCGGCAUCCGUCGAGCACACGUUCAUUGUAAGUAUGCAUGAUGCUGUUUCCUUCCCUUUGAUCGACCUCUCUAGCGACAAUCACAUAUAUAACAACCCUUCAUGCGCCAUUAUCCACGCACUUAUGCUUGAUUUCCUUGAUCGUGUACACAUGUAGGUGAAUCAGACGAAGAUGACGCGCCUGUGCAAGGCGACACAGGUCACCGUGGUGAACGGGCAGCUCCCAGGGCCAACCAUUGAGAUCACAGAAGGAGACACGGUGACUGUUCAUGUCAUCAACAGGUCACCUUACAACAUGACAAUCCACUGGUAAGCUACGAUGGCAUACCAAUAAGUUCAUCCAUUUCAGAGGAUAAAGCUAUAUAUGGCACUGCUUAUAAGAAACGGCUAAGGUGGACCGUGCAUUUUGACGUCUAGAUUUUUUGUACGAUUGUCACCCGUUUUUCAAAAACAUGGCUUCAAUUCUAGGAGUAUAUGUUAGACAAGAAAUCAAAAUAUUUGAUGAUAAUUACACGAUGAAAUUAUAAAAUAUAUGAAGUGCAUCAAGGAUAAAGCUGCGAAGGAUCACGUUUACUUCGUAGUAAGAUAUUUAAAAUUUAUGAGCACUUAUAAUUAUUCAGAUUGUAAAACGUUUUUUAAACAAAAUUGCAGCACUCCACACCUUUAUAGUUGACAACCUUUUGUGAUGUAUACGACAGAUAAAAUAGAGGAUAGUCUGGAGGAGUGAGCAUUCGGGUUACUCGACAUGUUCGGGUCGGGUAAUUUGAGGUUUCAAAAGUUCGGAUUGCUCAAAUCGCUACCCAAGAUGUACCAUGGGAGAACAGUACCUGAAGUUUCAGUACCCGAAAUGUCGGGUUCGGGUGUCAAGAAAAUUUGAGAGAGGAACGAGAACAAGAACCCGAUGAACAAGAACAAAUCCAAGAGAAAGGAAAAUUUGAGAAGAAAAAUUAGGAGAACAGGUAACGAAACUUAGCAGCGUGUCAAAAAAAUUUAUUGUCGGUCCUCGCUUUGCAUCCACAUCAGGUUCCAAAAAGGAAAAGCAAUAACCAACCAAUAGCACACGCAUCUCGAUUCCCUCGAAUCCUCUAUAAGGUUCCAGCAUCAUCGAUUCCCUGGAGUAGGACGUAGCAUUAGCAGGGAUGUCACCUGCUAGUGAACCAAGAUCAGGGAGAUGGGACCUCGACGGCGCCGCGCUUUCCUCCACCAGCGCUGCGCCGGUCUCUUCCUGCCGCGCGCUCGCACACGCCGGCCGCCGGCACGGUCGUGCCAGGUUUGGAAUAUACUACUAGAAUAUGAGCAUUCGUAGUUGAUUUUUGUACCGGAUGGUAUUUCGCCGGUAAUAACGUGUGAAAUUGGUGCUGGAUACAAAUUUUCGAUCCUCGGAGAUAUUUUAGUACCAGGCAAUAACACUAACCGGUACUAAAUGUGGUGUUAUUGCCCGGUAGUCUAGAUCAUUUAGUACUGGACAAUAACACCAGUACCCCGUGGAGUACCAUUUAGUACCGGUUAAUAACACCAACAGGUACUAAAUGUCUUGGUAUUAUUGACGGGUACUAAAAGCGGUGCAGGUUCCAUGGGAAAUGAUGAAGGUGGAUCUUGCAGCAAGAUUUCUUGCUCUGAUAGAUUUUUAACAUUCCACUCUAAAAUCUGCUUACAACCCAACUCCUCACGUGGAACGGAGGUGCUAUAUUUUAAUGAUAAGGAUUAUAAGAUGAUCCUCCUCACCUCUCCAAACUUACAAUGUGGUAAACCCACCACACUACAACCACAAUUAAACCACAUGAACCAACAACUACAGUACUAGAAGAUAUUGGGCUGGGGUAGAGUUUUUAUCUUUUCUGAUAACACAAAAGUAUUUGUGGUUUGUGAUGCAGGCAUGGAGUGAAGCAGUUUCGUAACUGCUGGGCUGAUGGGGUGCCAAUGCUCACCCAAUGCCCUAUCCUGCCGAACAAAAAUUUCACCUACCAGUUCAAUGUCGUUGGGCAGGAAGGCACCCUGUGGUGGCAUGCUCACGUCCCCGGACUACGGGCAACUGUCCAUGGCGCAUUCAUUAUUCGGCCAAGGCAUGGAGCUGAGUCAUAUCCAUUUCCUCAGCCUCAUAAGGAGAUCCCAGUUAUUAUAGGUUUGUGAACCUUUCAGAUUUUUAUUGUUUAGGAUAUGAGAACCUUAACUUCGUGCAAAUUUAAUUGGUCCUCAUUUUGAGAAAAUAAAAUAUGUCAUGUCCUAUGGGAUUUAAAUUGUGCGCAAUUUUGCAAUGGUUUUGCAAGUAUCUAGUAGAUGUGAAAUGAUCCUGAUGAUUACAGGGGACUGGUGGGAGAAGGACCUUGCAGAGAUGGCCAGGAAUAUGACGAAGAGCAUCUUUCUGUCUUAUGCUAGUGCAUCCACAAUCAAUGGCUUGGUCGGAGAUCUCUUCAAUUGCUCAGGUAAGCAAUUAUACGAUUCUAAACAGCCAUUUAGCACAAUUAAACUCUAUUUAAUUACUGCACAGUAGCCAGCUGAUUAAAUUCUCAGUCUUAAUGGUCUUGAGUUUUAGCCCGUACAAAUGGCCGUUUAGCAUAAUUAAACAGCCAUUUUGGUGAAAACUGUAUACAAUUGUGCGUUUGGUGAAAACUAUAUUGGAUAUUUGUCCAUGUCGAAACCGAUAUACACUACGGGAAAGCUAAAAAUUGCCGAGUGUAUUUUUUUUGCCGAGUGUUUUUUUUCGAGCACUCGGCAAACAAGCUCUUUGCCGAGUGCCAAGCCAAAAACACUCGGCAAAGAAAAAACACUCGGCAAAUCGGGGCUUUGCCGAGUGUCAAAUAAAAAACACUUGGCAAACCAUCCUCUUUGCCGAGUGUCAAAAAAAACACUCGGCAAAGAGGGGGCUUUGCCGAGUGUCACAAAAGACACUCGGCAAAGAGGGGGGUUUGCCGAGUGUUUUUUUUGACACUUGGCAAAAAAAUAAAUUUUUUUUCCUCUUUUCACCUUGAAAUUUUUUCUACUCCCCACAUACAACAUGUGGUACUCCAUGUUAAAGUUUGGUAUAUUUUUGAAUUUAUUUGCUAUAUUUAUUUAAUUAAUUGCAUUUCAAGGGAUAUUUUGGUAUAAGUCAAAUUUGAACCGCAAGUGAUUCAAAUUAUGGAACAAAAUGAGUAUAAAAAUGAUAUUCAUGUUAUUUGGCCCAAUUUGAGACCUGACCCAUGAAAUGAAAAGAAAUUUCGAACAUCUUGUUCAGGAAACACGACCAUGAACGUGUGGUAGUAGUAUUUUUAAAUUGUAAAAAAAACAAGCAAAGUCUGAAAAUCAUGAGAUUUGUCAUGAUGUGAUGAUAUAAUACGUGGAGGCUGUGGAAAAAAAUGAGAAACUUUUGCAUAUUUCAUCAUGUACGAUGAUUACAAACCGAAACAUCUCAGAAGAAGAAUAGUAACUUUGAGAAGGAUUCGAUAAAAUUUAGAGUCGAAGUGACGGUCGAGUUCGGUUUGACUACAAAACUUUUUAUAUAGUCAGUAGAGAACAUAUAUUGUUUCGUGUGAAAAUUUGGUAUUUUUUUGAAACUAUUAAAUAAUUUUUAACUUUUUUAAAAAAAAAA